AAAUAUUAAAUCAAACAUGCUAGGUUCAAUCAAUCAAACACAAGUCAUAACCAAAAAGUAAAUCAAAACUAAAGUAUUGAAACCAUGAGUUCCAGCUUCAUCUAGCUAACAGAAGCAGCUAGAUUUAGCUGGACAUACUAGCAAACAAACAUAAACAAAUCAUAUUCAAAGACAUAUUUAAAUGUACCAAACUAUUAAGCUAAUAAUGAACUUCUCCUUCUUCCUUGGUGUUGAAAGCCAAUUCCAAACGUUUUCUCCCUCUGGAUUUUGUCUCCAGGAACCCUCCAAGUUGUCCAAAAGUCCCUCAAAGUCGUAAUGAUCAAGAGAAUAUAUAGUUAUCAUAAAAUUCACUCUCACGUCGUGAAUGAGUAUGACUCACGACGUGAAUGCAGUAGAUAUCUGUGUUCUACAAGGAUUCCUCCUCCGCGAUGCUUAUCUUCUGGAAUAGUUCCAUUCACGUCGUGAAUAGUUAUGACUCACGACGUGAAGUUAGCAGAUUACAGGGAUUUCCUCUUCUUUCAUUCUCCAAGCCUCCAAAGUUCCAUGCUUUGUCAAUUUCAGUCAUUUUCUCCCAAAAUACUUCAAUUUGGCUGCAAAGUACAAUUAAAGCUUAUAAGCAUCAUUAUUUAAUGCAAAUAACCAAAAUAUUAAUAAAAAUGUAAGUAAAUAUUGCCCAAAAACAUGUAUAAAUAUGGCAGUAUCACCCUUCUUCACGAUCUCUGUUCAACGCCGCACGUCUGGUCAGUAGUGGAGCUGGCUUUGGCGGUAACAUGUAUGUAACAUAUCGAUACAUCAUACCCACGAACAUAUCAUUCUCGUCGAUAUCAUGAUUAUAUGGAUGAAACGGGUCAAAAGGUUCCAUUUUUUUUUUGUAAAUAGAAAUAUAGAAAAUAUAUUAAACUUGAUAGAAAUGUGUAUUAGAGAGAAUUAGAUAAAUUUUCUAUGUAAAGAUAAGUUAGAAUGUGUGUGUGUGUGUAUAUAUAUAUAUAUAUAUUAAAGUAAUUUUUUUUAUUAUUCGUGACCGUUCCACAUCGGUCAGAAAGUAGACCGUUUAUCCCGUUUCGUCCCGUUAUCACCCACACACCGAAUAUCGUAACGCCAAAAAAACGUGUACCUGGAGGCGGUGUUUGCACCGUUAUACCAACAUUUUUUGAUGUACACGUCGGAUUAACGGGCACUUCGGUUGCCCAUUCCGAGUAGUCUAAAUGUCAAAAUGCAAUGAAGAAAAAGAUUCAUUACAAAUGUCAAUUAUAAGUAUGUAGAAGGAUAAAAUAUAAAAAAGUUAUUAUCUUUUGGGAUAUACACAGUAAAGUCCCAAUAUUUUCAUCGAUUUGACAAGAAAAUCCUGAACUUUAUUUUUUUGACAGUAAAGUCCAAAUUACCGGCAGUUUUUGACACUUUUACAUUUUUUUCCCGAUUAGCCGGUAAUUAGGACUUUUUUGUCAACAAAAUAAAGUUUAGGACUUUCUUGUCAAAUCGUCAAUUAGGACUUUACUGUUAAAAAAAAAAAUAAAGUUUAGGACUUUUUUUGUCAAAUCGUUGAAAAAAUUGAGACUUUAGUGUAUAUAUAAUUUUUUUGGUUAGAAACUUAAUGAUAUGAUACUCUUUACGCAUAAGAGUUAUUGAAACAUUCUCUAAUCAGCUAGAUCAUAUUGAAAUCCUUUACGUUUGCUUCUUGUUAAAUCGUUAUUUUAAUCUCAACAAACUGACAUUGAAAAAAAUUGAGAUAAUCAAGAAAGAAAGAAAGAACCAGGGUUGUGUUGGCUUUUUGCAGUCUCAAAAAUGGAGAAAUUAGAAACCUACAAAAACGAAAAUGCCCUGACUUUUUACAAAUACAAACAACACGUGCCUAGUCAAAAUGGUGUGAAUGUGGAGAAGGGAAAGAAGGACAAUUUCGUUUUUUUCGGUUUCUUAUUUCUCCAUUUUUGGGGUUGCAAAAAGCCAACACAACCCUGGUUCUUUCUUUCUUUCUUGAUUAUCUCAAUUUUUUUCAAUGUCAGUUUGUUGAGAUUAAAAAAACGAUUUAACAAGAAGCAAACAUUAAUGAUUUCAAUAGAAUCUAGCAUAUUAGAGAAUGUUUCAAUAACUCUUAUGCUUAAAGAGUAUCAUACCAUUAAAUUUCUAACCAAAAAAAUUAUAUAUACACUAAAGUCCCAAUAUUUUCAACGAUUUGACAAAAAAAGUCAUAAACUUUAUUUUUUUUGACAGUAAAAUCCUAAUUGACGAUUUGACAAGAAAGUCCUAAACAUUAUUUUUUUUGACAAAAAAGUCAUAAUUACCGGUUAACCAGAAAAAAAUGGUAAAAAUGUCAAAAACUGUUGGUAAUUUGGACUUUACUGUCAAAAAAAUAAAAUUUAAAACUUUUUAUCAAAUCGAUGAAAAUAUUAGGACUUUAUGGUAUAUAUCCCUUAUAACUAAAUAGCAACUAUAAUGUGUGGAGUUUGGUAAAUUCCGCUUGGGUUUGGUCUCUACAACCCAUUCAACCCCAAGGCUAUUCUAGUAAUUUCCCCACUAGAAGGAGCUAGGUUCCGCUGCCUUUUAAGUCUAGGUUUUCACUAUCAUCACUCUCACUCAUCGUUUUGUGGUUUCCUGUGGAGAAGAGCAGCAGAUACUCAACAACUUGCAGGCUCUAUUUUCUCAUCGCCAUCAGGUAUCUGUAGGUGUCCUAAAAUCUACGGUUAGGGUUUUGUUAGCACAGUAAUUCAUGGAAAAUGUUGAAAUCUCACUUGUUACCGUCGAUUCAAUCUUUAUUUUUUAGGAAAAAACAUCGGUUCACCAUAUCGUUAUAAUUGUUAUGAUGAUUUUGGUAUCAUCGAUGAAGUUUUAUGUGUUAUGUUUUCGUUGUAAGCUGGAUGUUUCAGGAUGUUUGAUGAUGUGUGCGAGAAUUUCAUUUUAGGGUUUAUGGUGUAUGUUUGCUUUCUUAAAUAGCGUCUACAUGUUAGCUAAUAUAAAUAGUUACCUUGAUGUUUAUAUAUUGGUUGCCACUCGGCUUCUUCAUCUUUGAAAACAAUGCGAUUAGACCCCCCUUAGGUUUGGAUCUAUGCUUAGAUGUGGAUUGUGUAAUUUUUCUCGUGAAAACUAUUGGAUAAACUUGCUUCGUUUUUUGCACCAUGGAAAGCUUAUUUAUGAUUUAAGCCUGGUUCCAACUUUGUUUGUGGGGUUAAUUUGCUACUUUUAAUGUCUAUAUGUAAAGUAUCAGUUGCUCUCUUUUAGGGUUUAUGUUUAGGUGUCUUAUUACCUCGACAACAAGCAAUGGUGAUGGGAUUAGAUCAUAUGUGAAGUUCUUUUGGGGUGCAUGGAUUAUUGCAUGUGAUGCCCUAUAAUAGUUUUAAUAUAUCAAUGGCUGUAAAUUAUCUGUCCAUAUUAUGCUAUGGUUAUCUGUCUAUUAAACUGUUUUCUUUUUGAACAUGUAAUGUGCAGAAAGAGUGCUUUGAGGAAUGCUGGAUUGAUUGGUCCCAAAUACAAAGAAGAUGAGCAAGAAGAACCCAUUUGUAUACUUGGAUGUGUCUAUAGAUGGAGAUCCUGUUGAAAGGAUGGUUUUUGAGGUCUUUAUUAUAGCUUUAACCUUCUAAGAUCUUUCUUUUAUUCUUUUUUCUGCCAGAUGGCAUUGCCACAUCACUUAUUAUCAAGCUGAAAAACUAAUUCCUUUUAUAUGGUGUUACAGCUAUUCUCAGACACUGUUCCCAAGACUGCUGAGAACUUCCGGGCACUUUGUACUGGUAAAAUGUUCAUCAUAAUUGGUAUUCUUUUUGUCAUAAGUUUAUAAAACUGGAUGCUUUUUUAAAUUUCAGGAGAAAAAGGGAAUAGUCAGAAAACCGGGAAACCCCUACACUACAAAGGAUCCUUCUUUCAUCGCAUAAUCAAAGGAUCCAUGGCUCAGGUAUGUUUUCUAUCAAUUACUUUCAUAAAUUAUAUUGUUUUUUUUUUUUUGUUUUGUUAUUUUAUUUUCCACUUAGUUUCUUCUAGUUCUGGAUGUCUUGGUGGUGGUCUGUCUUUUUAGUCGGCUAUCCUUGUUUAAUCUGUAGGAUACAGGGUUGAUGGUUCCAACUGCUUUUCUUGUGAUGUAGUUUUUAAGGUUGUAAUUAUUUGGUUGUAUUUGUAAUAUCAUCACAUUCAUUCUGAAACAUAUCAUACAAAAUUUACAAAUCCAUCUUUCUGCAAUGAUUUCUGAAUAUAAUUUCUAUAAGUGAAUUAAUUCUUUGUAUUUUUUUUUUGCAGGGUGGGGAUUUUUAUAAACGUGAUGGUAUGUACAUUUUGCCACCAAUUUUUUUUAAUUUUUGUAUACAAAAUCCAUAUCUCAUUGGUUUACUUUUGCAGGAAGUUAUGGAGAAAGCAUAUAUGGAGGGAAGUUUCCAGGUGAGAAAAGUCACUAUGUUCAUUACUUGUGUUUUCUGUUUGAAUGUUGAUGAUCAUAAAUACAUAAUAUGUCUUUAGGUAGUUGAGGAUUUCAUUUAAUUUGUUUAAAAAGUGUAUGCAAAAGAAAUUGAAAUAAACCUUUUAGCUUCUAUCUCCCCAAAAUUUCUAUAUAUGUUUAUAUUUUGAGAGAAUGGGUUUCCUUUUUGAAUUGCCUGUGAAGGUGGGGGCUGACAUUGGUCUUAUUCUCGGUGCAUGGGAGCUCAACCCACAAUGAAAUGGGCAAAUUGUAAUUGUCUUGAAAAAUGGUGGGUGUAUGAAUAUUUUGUGUGCCUUUCUUUCUAGGUUUGAAAUCUUUGGUAAAAUACAAAGUAUUUGGUUUGGAUGAUUUAUGCAGCUAGUUAAGUCUAAUGUAUAAUGUAUGCUUUAUAUUUAUGCCCAAUACAUUGUCAUGAGUUUUUUUAUCUGGCUUUUUUUCCAUGUUAAGUUCCUGGCUACCUUAUUAUUAUUAUUUUGAAUUGGUUAUAAUCAAAAUUUGUUACAUUUCAGAUGAAUCCUCCAAACUGAAACAUGAUGCUCCUGGCCUUCUAACAAUGGCAAUUGCUGAUCGUGAUUCACGUGGCUCUUUAUUUAAUGUGACAUUUGGCGCUAAUCGCCACCUGGAUAGGUUUGCUCAUCUUUGUUGUUACAAUUUUAUGUUGGACAAAUUGAUAGAAAUAGCUACAUACCUUACUUUUGUUAUGGUUACAUAUUGCUAUUAUUGAUAAAAAAAAAGUGUUAAGUAUGUUGCUAUUACGGGUAAAAAAAUAAAUACACUGCAUGUAUUGGUAUUUCCUACAUGUUAUCUUUUUAUAUUUAUCUGAAAAGUUAGAGUUUUAGCAACAUUAACUGUCUAACUUUUGAUGGAAAAGGAAAUUUAAGUGUUGGAAAUGGAAUUUCUUGAACAGGAAGUAUGUUAUUUUUGGAAAGCUUGUUCAAGGACUUGAUGUAUUGAAGAAGAUAGAAAAUGUGGGUGAUGAAGAUGGAAUGCCAACUGUGACAGUGAAGAUCAUUUAUUGUGGGGAAGUAAACGAGAGUGAGAAUCAAAGCUCUGGUAUGGUGGAUAAUUAUUGCAUUUUUAAUGACAUAAUUGUUUGUUUAUUUUUUUAAAAUAAAGUCUCUGUUUUUGAUGUUUUUAUAGAUAAGAAGGCAGCCAGCAAGUUGAAAAGUGGGAAAGAUGUUUCUUCAGAGGUUCACAGCCAUGAAGUGAAGCGGAAGGGAAAGCACAAGAAAUCUUCAAAAGAUAAAAGGAAGAAAAGAAAAAGAUAUUCUUCAUCUGAUUCAGACAGUUCAUCUGACAUGGAAUCUGACUCAUCUGAUUCGGAUAGUGAUUCCGACUCUGAUGAUUCAUCCUCGUCAUCAUCUGAUGUCAGCUCUUCAAGUGAUGACAGGCGUAAGAGAAAAAAGAGAUCCAGAAAGGAUCGACACAAACGUGGAAAAAGAAAGGACAAAAAACGCGAGAAGAAGCGUAGGAGACGCGAUAAGAAAUCCAAACGUAAAUCAAAGAGGUUGGUAUGGUAUUUUAAUUUUAGUUAAACCUUAAAUAAAGUAAUGUUUUAUUCUUUAUAAAAGUUAUUAUAUAUCAUUUUGUAGGGUGUCUGGUAGCGGAAGUGAGAGUUCAAGUGAAAGCGAACAUGCGUCUGAGGACAAUAAUGGUGAUGUCAAAAAGCGAAACCGGAAACAUAAUAAUAGUAAUAAUAAAUCUCCUACAGCUGAAUUUGAAGAUGGUAAAACAGGAGAUGCAUUUGCAUUUGAUGGACAUGUAAAGGAGGAAGAAGGUGAAUACCCGAAAGAAAAUGGUGGGGACCGCCCAAGCAAUGGUGUUGACCUGGCGAAGGCUGAUAUAGUCGAUGACCAUCUCGGAAACUCUAGGUUCAAUCAAAUUUAAUAAAACUUUAUUAUUAUUAUUAUUAUUAAAUUCUUUCUAAUCUUAUUUUUUUUUUACUAAACAGAAGUAGAAGCAAAAGUCCUCCUCGAAGGGAAUUGAGCAAGAGUAUGAGUAUUAGCCCAAGGAGGAGUCAAAGUGUUAGUGGGACCCCUCCUAGACGGGCCCCAUCACGUAGCCCGGUCAGAAGCGAAAGCAGCAGCAAGAGUCCGGUUAGAAGCAUAAGCAGAAGUCCAGUGAGGGGCAAAAACGUCAGAAGCAUAACUCCCUCACCAUCACCUCCACGAAGGAGUGUUUCUAGAAGCCCACUGCGAACAUCGUCUAGAAAAUCCUCACGAAAAUCAGUAAGCAGAAGUCCGGUUAGAUCUUCCAGAAGAAGCUACAGCAGAAGCCCAGUCAGAUCAUCUAAAAGAAGCUUGAGCAGAAGCUCUGGUAGACCGCCUUUAAGAAGAAGCCCUAGCAGGAGUCCGGUCAGACCGCCUAUGAGGGGUGGUCGCCGGAGCUAUUCCAGGAGUCCGGUAGGUGGGCGUAGGGCGGCUAGGUCACCGGAGAGAAGCUUGUCUAGAAGCGCUUCACCUGAUGGCUCUCCCAAACGUAUCAGAAGAGGACGCGGUUUCAGUAACCGAUUUUCUUACGCACGCCGAUACCAUUCUCCCGAUCGCUCCCCGGUCAGAUCUUAUCGCUAUAGAAGUGACCGCGACCGUGACCGUGACCGGUAACAAACUAACAGCUAGCAAUUUUAAAUUAAGUUUUUUAAUAUAUUUAAUAUAAAAACAAUUAAACCAAUAUUUUGGUUUGUAGUUAUUCAAGCUAUAGAAGGCGCAGCCCACUGAGAGACAGAAGUCCACCAAGGUAUUUUGGAGUAAUAAUGGAAUCUUUUUUUUUGGUGAGAAAGUGAUUAUUUGAUUGUUAAAUUCAAUUAUUUACACAGGUACAGAGGGAGAAGAAGCAGGACACGGAGUCCGAGUGUGUCCCGGAGUCCUGUCCCUGUGCGGUACCGCCGGCGCUACAGUCGGAGCCGGUCGCCGGUGGAGACAUCAAGGUACAGGCCAUCACCGCCAGUGGAGAGGAGGAGGGCGCCACGCAGCAGGACCCCGCAUUCUCAAAGUAGGAGCCCGUAUGAACGUAGGUCCUCUCCAUCACCAUCUCCGAGAAGGAGCGUGAAGUCAAAGUCAAAGUCAAAAUCGCCAUCGAGAUCAAGGUCAAUGUCGAGGUCAAGAUCUAGGUCGUCUUCUGGAAGCCCACCUGGGAAGAAAGGACUGGUGUCGUAUGGAGAUGGUUCUCCAGACAGUCAGAAGUGAGAAGAGAAGAGAAAGAUCUUACUUUUGAGGGUGAAAUGAUUUAUAGACUUGGUAAUUGGUACACUAUGUAGGGUGGGUGUGUUUUGAAUAAUUUGACUAUUUCUCUUGUAUUUCUUUCUUCUUCUGUGGAGUGACUGUUGAGGUGCUGCUAGACUAGUAACGAUGAUUGGAUAUGUGUUUGUUUUUAAGAGGUUGGUUAGACUGAGGGGAAUGGGACCGAGUAUCAAUUAUGUUAUGUUUUAAAAAGCCUCUUCUGUUUUUAUCUUUAUUGUUAUGGUUUGCUCUUUGAUCAGUGCGACUUGAAGGUAGUUUGUGCAUUUAUAUAUGUAUUAACAUAAUCUUGUGUGCUUGAAUUGAUACAUUAUAUUAUAAUCUUUUCAAAGAAUAAGCUAACAAGUUAAAAGGAGGGUCAUCAAGAUGUAUUGAAUUAUUAAGUAGAUUGAGAGAAGAUUAUUUACCAUCUCUUUAAGACCGGUAAUAAUUGCGACAUAUGUAUUGUAUUUAGUUAUUUAUUAUUUAUUAACCGAUAAAAUUGGAAUAAGUUACCUAAAAUUUAGGGGAAAAUAUGAUUAAUUACGUAAGUUCAGGGGGUAUUUUGGUUUACGGCAACAGCAGGCGACGUGUAGAAGAAGAAUCUCGGGAACCCUAGCAGAGGUUUGUUUCUCAAUCCUACGCCGCUACGACCAUUGCCGCUUUCUCCACUCCACGAUGAUAACAAAGAAACAUCCGUCGCCGUUUCUCAAUCCAACGGUAAUAUGAUUUACUUGUUCGUUAUUAUUUGAAUCUAUUAAACACAAGAUAUAAGCCGAAGCAUUUUGAUUGAAAUAAGACAGUAACCAAUAAAUACUAAAAGCCAAUCUCUUUUCUGUAGCUUGGUAACAUUUGUAUUACUAAUAAAUGAUGAAUGUAUUAUUGAUUGUACUUGGGUUUUUGAUUGACAGGGUAACAUUAAUGAUAUUGAUCGUAAUGUUCUAUGCAAUGUGUUACACAUCAAACAAUGCUCCAAAGCCUCCCAAUAUAUGGUGAAGUUUACAAAGCAAAGGCAUUGGAAUCAUCAAACAAGUAUGUCUCUACCUUUUAUAAGCUUCUUCAUUUUCAGUAACAUUAUAGGAAUUAGACACUCUUUCUUUGUCACCACUGCAUUUGUGAUGGCAUUGGCAGCUGGUAAGCUUUGGGACACCAUUUCUGAAUGCAUCUCCCAAAUUCAAUCUGAUUGUGAUGAUGAAGCUAAAGAGAGGGCACUUCAAACCCUAGUUUCCAUCACAAAAGCAAGCCCUCCACACAGAAAUUUAGUCAUGCAGAAUCAGGAAGCCAUCCCCGCUCUCCUCUCCCUGCUCAAAUCCUCCUCCCGUGCUCUUGAAAGACUCUCACUUUCCAUCCUCUUCAACCUCUCAUUAAACCCUAAUCUCAAAUCCACCCUUGCUGACAUGGCAACCAUUCAACACCUCAAUACUGUGAUCCUGUCUCGUGGGUCACUCGAGUCUAGCAAACUAGCAGCUUCUUUGAUAUGCAGCCUGGCAAUGCUAGACAAGAAUAAAGCAGUGUUUGGGGUAGCGAAUACUAUUCAAGCAUUGUUGAAGGGAGUUUCAAGGCCUAAUAGUCCUGUGACACAUCACCUUCUCAGCUCACUUGCUGAGUUGGUGCACUUCCAUGGGAAUUGCACAUUGGCUGUUAGAUCAGGUGCAGUUGGUGUUCUCCUGAGAAUAGUUGAGAACAAAGACAGUGAAGAUCUUUGUGGGACUGCUCUUAGUAUUCUUGGGCUUCUUGCUAAGUUUGAUGAAGGGCUAAAAGCUUUGACAAAUACACCUAGUAUUGUGAGUAGAAUGCUUGAUGUGUUGAAAGGUAGGUCCAUGUUGAAUAAUGAAGGUGCAGCCGAGGUACUUCUUCGUGUUUUUGAUGAGAGUGAAGAAUGCUUGAGAGAUGCUAUCGGAUUGCCUGAUUUCAUGUAUACAUUAGCUGAGCUCUCGGUGAGAGGAUCAACGAGAGCUCGGGAGAAAGCUUCUCUACUGUUGAGAAAACUUGAGGCUAAUGAAUCAUAUGUAGAUGAUGAUCUGGUGUUCUUGAAAUGGUAAGGUAGGAUGCGUGUCUUAAGAAAAGUAACAUAAUAAGAGCUUUUGUUUGUUUUGUAGCACAUGAGUGUGCACAUUAUUAGGUCCUCUUUGAAGGUUUAGGUAAUGAAUAGAUGGGUUUGGUGUUAAAAAAGGCAUGGAGUUUAUAGGAUUGAAGCCAUGACUCACAAAACUACGAACUACAUAAAAAAUGAAUUUGAGAGUUACAUAAAGCCAUAAAGUUAAAUUUAUAAAGAAAGCAUAACUAUCUUGCAUCCAAAUACAACAACAACAACAAAUAAACCCAAAUCCCAUAAAGUCUUGUGAGGUAAGUGGGAGGUUUGAUGUAGGUGGUCUUAGUGUCUUGCCUCCACCCGUGGGUAGAGAGGCUACCUCUAUAGGAGACUUUCGCCAUGAUCAAGGAUGCACCAUACAUGAGCAAAUAAAAGCAAUAUACAAUUAAAUAUACUAAUACUAGAAAUAGUACUAAUUGUAAAAAUGAAAUAACAUAAGACGAUAAAUACUUAAAUGCCUAAAUGAUAAUACAAGAAACAAAACUUAUGCUACUACACUAACCUAAUUCUCCGUCUCCACUCCUACCUAUGUGAGGUCUGUAGAAGGUGCCAACUCCUUCGUGUCUAACCUCACACUAUAGUUACGUUGCGUCCUCGGUCGACCUCUCCUCUUCGCCUUACCGUAGAUGUGACGCCUCGAUCCAUUGAGUACCGUCAUCUAUCCUUAGUACACUUUAUUUUAAAUACAACUAAGAUAAUACCUUAGAUUUCAUCUUCAUCAUGGUUUAACAAAAUUACAUAAGCAAAAGUGCAUAAAAGAAAAACUAUUUUAACCGUUUAUAAUUCAUCCAAAAUUUCUGUUAAAACACUAACUACUUGUGGUCCUUCUUCUUUCCUGAGAUACAUACAUGAAUACAUAAGCUUUAAGUUUAGUGAGUAUUUUGGUUUUAAUAUUUAGCAUAAACAUUUGAUGGAAAAAUAACAAUUAAAUGCUUGAAAACAUUAAUUUGAGAUCUUAUAGCUACAUGUAAGUAGGCCCAACUUCUGGGAGGUUUGCUAACCUUGGGAUUCAUAUAAGGCUGUCCCAUAAGGUCCGUUUUUAAGACGUCCCUUCAUCCCAUACCCAAUGCGUUGGGUUACUUGGGUAUUUAAAUGACCGUACUUAACAUGAAUAAAACUUUCAUGCUAACUUCAUAAUAUGUUGUUAAAUGUCUUUGAAAAAUCAUUUGAGCAAGUGAACAUGGCAAAUAAUUUAAAUGCAUUGAACAUAUACGUAGCAUGUAUGUAUCCCAUUAAAUCACAUAAAUAUACUCACCUUUCUUUGAGCUUUUAGGCUUCUUUUUAAUCUUUUAAGUCACCACCAAGCUUGAUAGUGUAUUCUAGGAUGAAAAAAAAUGCUUAACUUCACUUGCUAUGUCUAGUAAAAUUGUGUGCAUUGCUUGCUUGUUCUUUAGGCCUAAAACAUAGUACAUUGUUGAUGAGAUGAUUACACCUAGUGUACUUGUUGUACCUCAUCUCCUUAGAAGCUUACACCUCAAGCCUCUAGCUCUUCUAUGUCAUCUUCCAGCUUAGCUUAAUCUCCUUAGAAGCUUACACCUCAAGCCUCUAGCUCUUCCAUGCCAUCUUCUAGCUUAGCUUAAUCACUCAAAAUCUAGGCAACGCUUAUCUCUACUUGUAUAUGCUAGCUUGGUUACUACUUUUAGCCUUGAUUUGUCAUGCUAAGCUUUGGUUUACUUGUAGCUGGUGUUGUGGUACUUGUAAGCAUAUGGUAAGCUACUUGUGUGCUUGCUUAUUUUCAACUUUUCUUUUUACAUAAAAUUUGCAACAUUCUUCUAUAACAACUAUUCUUAAAGUGUCCCUUAUGUUCUUUUAUAUUACAAGGGUGUUAUGGUAGAUGAUUGCCUCCUCUUGACAUAUCUAAACCACUAAAAUCUUUCUUUCCUCGAAUUUUCGGUGGUUCACGCAACUCCUAACUUAUUUAUGAUUAUAGCAUUCAGUAUUUUCUCCAACAUUGUUGUAAAGCAUAAACACUGAAGGAUCCUCAUUUCAGAAAUUUCCAUCUUCCUCUCAUGCUCUUUUUUUUCCGGCUAACAUUUGAAGCAACUACCACCUUGUAUCUUGCAUCCAAAUGAUGCCAAUGGUUGUUUUAAAACAAUUUUGGCUAAGGGUGUAGACUAGACAAAGCAAAGUAGAAGGAGAAACGAGGUUUAUUGGGUAGGGUUUAACAUGGACUAGGCUUAUAUAGACCACACUUUUAUCAUGUUAGAUAGUAGAUAGUUUUUUAUAAUGAUUUCUUAUGCAUCUUUAGCGUGGUCGUACAAUUAUGAAUAUUUAUAAUAGUUGGAUAAAUUUAUAAAAUAUGAAAGUGUUGUGGCAAAAUCUAGAGAUUUGAAACAUGUGAACCUACAUGUUUUAGACAUGACACUUUAGUGUCUUGUUUAGGGACCUAUUCCGUGUAAAUGCAUGUAAUUAUCACAUGAAGCUUGCAAAUUGAACUUAUUUUACUAAAUAUUAGGUGUAGACUACCAGGAAAGAAAUUUAAAGCCCAAAUUUGCUUGCCUUUUCUUUCAUUUCCUUUAUCGUGAGUUCGUGACCUUUCCCCUUUAUUGUGCCCUCGACAAUCGACAUAGGACAUCGCCGAGUGGUGCGUUUGCUAUCGUAUCUUUCGAUUGCACCUCAACUACACCUAAAACAACAAGAAUUUGUUUAUCGCAUUGAUAUUAAGGUAUCUUUUUCGAAUACUUAACCUUUAGAUCUAGUUUGAUCCCAAAUCGAUUAUUCCAAAAUUUUACUUGUAAUGCUUUAGUUAGGUAAAUUAUUUUGCAACCGGAAAGAAUUGGCUAGGGUUGUUUGGAAUAAAUGUUUGUGUGCUUCCGAUUACGCUAUCAAUAUUUCUUUACAUUUUUGUUAAUAGGAUUAAUGUCAAUGAACUUAACUUGUAUAUGGAAUGUCAUAAUUAUGAUUUCCAUUCCAUGAUAAACAAUGUUAGGGCCUUAUUAAUGAGAUAAUUCUUUAAUUAAGGUAGUUAUUUAAUUACUUAGAAGCAGUGAUGAUAGUUUGUUAAGCUUUGGUGUCAUGGAUGGUGUCACUUAGAUCAUGAGAGAGAUAGAGAGAAGGGAAGGGGGGGGGGGGGAUCUUAUGGGCCAUCAUUUGUACCCAUCUAGUAGAAUGACGAGAGAGUCGAGUUCCAUAGGUCUUGGAUAUUUCUUCCAUUUCAUAGUGGAUGAUAGUGGGUAUCUUACUAUGAUUUCCUUCUUUGUAUCUCCAAAUUAGCAAAGGGUUUAAAGGCAUUUAGCUACAACUCAUUGCCUUAUUGUGGUUGUAAAUAAUAUGUCCAUCUUUUUGCACAUGUUAUGCUUUUUUCGUAAUCUAGUGGGAAAUUGUGUUAGAUCUUUUGAUAUCCUCGUUUAUAUAGAGGGACACGUUUGAGAACAUGAACCAUAAAUUUUGGAUAUAAUGAUAUUAACUAUGUUGAGACAUCUUUUUGGUUUUAAGAUGAAUUUUGGUUUUACUCCCACCAUUAUCCCAUUUUCUUUGGUUUUUCCUCUCAUUUUUGGACCAUUGACUCUAGUCGUAGUCAAAUCUCAUCUUUACCAUUUUAUAUGGACCUUGUUGCUCAAACCUCAUCUUUAAUAUCGCUAUGCGGCGGUGUUUGGGAUUGCUUUUCAAAACAACCUAUUGACUUAUUGGCUUUUUGAAAAGCCAAUAAGUCAAAAAUAAUGUUUGGCAAACUCAAAAGCAUUUUUCAAAAUAACUUUUCCAUUAGCUUCAAAAAGGAGAUUUCAAAAAGCAGGUAAAACUUGGCUUUUUGAAACUCCUUUUAGCUUUUUAAUCAUAAUAGCUUCAAAAAAGAGAUUUUAAGCCUAACAUUUUUUUUAAACUUAUUGCCUUAUUGGAUUUUGCCAUCUCAAAAGCUAAUCCAAACACUUUUUUAAGUCAAUAAGCACUUUUUCCCAACAACACUUUUGGAAUUCAAAAAGCAGUCCCAAACACCCCCUUGUUCCAACCAUGUGUUGUCAAUGCACCAAGAUCUUCAGUUUUGAUCUGAGCCUUGGCCUACAUUAGUGCUGGCUUUGACUAUUAAGUUCUACCUGAGUUGGGUGUCACUAGCAUUUUCUCAAGAGAUUACUUGAUCUUUCAUUAUUCUACCUUGGUGUCUUUUAGCAGAGCAUCAGAGUUUUCUCUAUUGAGUCAAGAAAUUCUAAACCUUUUAUAUUGCUGGUCGCCUAUAGAUGUUUUUUCCAAUCCAUGACUUGUAAACUACGGCGUUCUCUGUUCUUAUAGAUUUGGUCCUUGAAUUUUAUGCAAGAAAUAUUUUAUAAUGCUUAUUUAAAAAAGAAAAAACUAAUGUAAUGCAAUGUUUAGAAGAGGAAGAAUGAGCAUGGUGGGAGAUUGGAUUUGUGGGUCAUGCAAUCACUUAAACUUUUACUGGAGAGAAUCAUGCAGGAGAUGCAAAGAGCCACGAUCCCAAGACAUGAAUGCAGCUGUGAGUGCGGGCCCCAGGGUGUUUGCUUUUAGGCCCGGGGAUUGGUUCUGUGAUGUUGGGAUUUGUCAGGCUCACAACUUUGCAAGCCGAAGAUUCUGUUUCAAAUGUGGUGUAAUUAAAAGCAUACCAUCUUUUGGUCCUACUGUAGGACUAGGAUACUACCCUACCCUUCCCCUUCCCCCUCCCCCUCCUCCUUUCUUGAGUUUCAGUUUCAUGAAUCCCAGAAUCAGCCAACGAGGCUGGAAGCCUGGCGACUGGUUUUGUGGCAGGGGGUUUUUUUUUUAAUUUUUUUUUUUUUUUUUUUUUUUUUAUUUUAAAUAUUUUUUUUUUUUUUAAAUAUANUUUAUCUUUUUUCAUAUUUUUUUUUUUUUUUUUUUUUUUAAUUAAGGUCAUAAUCAUUAUUCAUUAAUACUAGUUGAUUCUCAUUCAUAUAAUCAUAUGAUAUGAUAUAGGCCUGGCUGUAAUGCACACAACUACGCUUCCCGAAUGAUAUGUUUCAAGUGCAAGUCUUCUAGGGAAUUGGUUACCAAUGUUUCUAAUUGAUUCCUUCCUUGCAUUCCGAAUUCUGGUAAAGAUUUUUGUUUUUUUUUUUCUUAUGAAUGUGUGUGUAAUUUAUGUCAUGUUUUUCAGGUCCUAUGGUUAUGCUAUCACCUCUGUUAGGAGAGAGGGAGAGUCAGAGUUGUUGUUUUUUCGUUCAGAUCUUGUUAUAUCUUAUGUGUUUCUUUUUAUUUCUGUUGGUUGCAUUGCAAUGGAGUUUGAAUCUGGUAUGAAGUUUACAUGAAUUAAUGAAGGAUGUAAUUAUAAGUGGUUUCUUCAGUUUGAAUGUGAUGAUUAUGGAUGGAUGGAUGGAGUUAUAAGAUUUUUGUGGCAAUUUGGUUGGAUCAUAUGUGUAGUUGUAAGAAAAGUUCAUUCAACUGGGUUGUUGAGUUUCAUACACAUUCAUUUGCAAAUGGUAAUUUGACAAGGAUUUUUUUUAAUAUAGCUGAUUUUGGAAAUUUUGGUCUUCAAAUGAUUUUUUUGUUUUUUGUUUUUGUUUGUUUGUUUGUUUUUUUUUUUUUUUUUUUUUUUUUUUUUUUUUUUUUUUUUUGUUUGUUUGUUUGUAAUGGUCUAUGUUCCAAAUAAAAUGACUUUUUUUUUUGUUUCCUAAGUUAUACCUGAUUUUUGCAGUUUUAUCACAAAAAUAGUCAUUUUCUUGGUACGAGGACCAAAAUCAUUAAAAAGAGGAUCAAAAUUGCAAAAAAAAAACUCACCUCAAAAUUGCAAAAGAAAACUCACAGACCAAAAUUACAAUUCAAAAUUACAAAAAGAGGACAUACUACCUAAUUCAUUGAUGAUUAAAGUGGGACAUUGUUUAGUCGUAUUCAAUAAUAUAUAGAAGUAGGAUCGGGUGAUGACUUGAAAAAUAGUGAGGAUUGCGAUGACAAAUCUUGGAUGUUUGUUGGUUUAAAUGGGUGGUUGAGAUAAAUCAAAAUUAAUAAAUAAACAAAAAAAAAAUCGUCCAAUGACAUUUUUGUAAAUAAAAUCAAGUUAGGAUCACUUUCCAAUUAAAGGGCAAUGUCUGGGGGUCAUAACUGUCAAAGGAAAUAAUAAAAUUUUGUUGCUGAAAUGAACUCCACGCACAAAAGGUGCGUCGCCAACUCUAUGGAUCUUACUCUUGAACACGUUUCGCCACCAGGUUUACUUGGGUUUAUUUAUUUAUUUUUAUUUUUCAUGGAUCUUACUCUCGUAUGAACUUGUAUAAGUAGUCCCCGGAAAUGUAUUGACCUGAACUUCAUGAAUAUGGCUUCGUAAUCUGGUUUGGAUGGGUUCUAACGGGAAAAAAACAGGUCUUGAACAAGCUGUUGUUUCGAGUUAAAAUCUGAAAAUUUAACCUAGUUGUUUAAUUAUAUGUUUAAGGUGAAUAUCCCUAUUUAAUCUUGAUUGUUAUUCUUAGGAGUUUUGAAAGGUGACCGGGUGCGAAUGGGUUCUGGUUUCAGUUGGAGGUUUACUCUACUACUUGAGGUGAGUUUCUCACUACACUGUGUAAUGUUGUGCAUUCUUUGCUUUAGCUCGUGUGUGUUAUAGUAUGUUUAUACGGGUAACACUAGAUUGGGUUAGUAUCUAGUGGGAGUAUGUUAUUUGUUCAUGUAUUGAAGAAUAUGUAUAGAAGGGAUCGACGUAUCCGAGCAGAGGAUCGGGCAUAGCCAGUGUGUCCCAAGGGGUCGACGAAUUGAGCAAGGGGGAUCGGGCAUGACCAAUGUGUCCCAAUGGGUUCGGGUGAUCGGGCUUAUCCAAUGUGCCCCAAUGGCUCGAUGUAUCGAGCAAAGGGGAUCAGACAUAACUAAUGUGUCCUAGUAGGUGUAUGUUGUUAUUGAUUCGCUCUUUGACAUGCAUACGUGUUUGUGUGGUUGAUAUUGUUGUUAUAUGUGUAUUAAGGGUAGAGCUUGUAUGAUAUAGACAUAUAGUAUUGUGUAUGUGUGAAAUCCCCUAAGCUUUGUGCUAUUCCCUUUUCCCUUAAAAAAAUACCAUUUCAGGAUUAACAUGUACUUAGGAUGGCAGGGUGUGAUAGUACACACCGGCUCAGUACGGAUUGAUGAAGUUUUCAUAUUACCUUGGAUUAUGUUUCUUUGAUUUUGGAAUUUAUAAUUAACAAAUGGUUUUUGAAAUUUAUUGAUCUUGGGAUUAUGGUUUUAAAACUUAUUUUGAAAAAAAGUCAUGGUUUUGAAUAUACUUAUAUUGUUUUUAGAAGUUCAAAUUUAUUGUAAAUUUUAGGAUGUUACACAAUUGUAUUGGAUUGAGUGCGAAAUUUGAAAAUCCAAUUGGAUUACUUGAAGGCAAUGUUACUUUGUUAGUCUUAUUUAGCAUAAUUGUGUGCGGUUUUAUUUUUAGUUAUCGUAGUUAUAUUUGGUUAUUCGAUAGAAAGAGAUUAGAAUUGGUUGGAUAAUGGAUAACUACUGAAUUAAACCAAUAAAAAAAUAUCCAAUAGAUAGAAUCGAUCUAAUCCAACAUCCAAUUGGAUCGAUUUGGUUUGAUUUUUUUAUGAUGAAUUGGAUUGGACCGGUUGACAAAUCCAACAUCUAAUGGAUGAUUAGAUUGGAUUGGUUCCAUCGAAAUCCAUUGGAUUUGAACCGCUGAUCACCCAUAAUUUGGUUAUUAUGUUUUUUUCAAUCAGCUGCUGGAACAUGAUGGUUCUAAAAACAUUUUGCAAAAAGGUAAGAAUCAGCCAUAAAGUCACAUUACCUUUCAUUGUUGAUGGUUGUGGAAUGUGAACUACUUUUUAUUAAAUUAUAAAUUAUCUAAGGAUGAAACUGCAUUUCCUUUCUUCAUAUCACUAUAACACAUUACAUUAUUUUUGUAUGUUUUUAUAACAUCAAAUCUUUGUUGUGAAACAAGGUUUAUUAUUAACAUGAGUUGGUUUGAGCUUUAACAAAAUUUUAAGAUAAUUAACUAUUUCAUACAAAUGAUUGUUCCAUGGAUUAUAUCAUUAUUAUUAUUAUUAUUAUUAUUAUUAUUAUCAUUAUAAAUCUUAUAAUAGAAGUCACUUGUGACAUAUAUCCUUAUUAUUAUCAUUAUCAUCAUUAUAAAUCUUAUAAUAGAAGUCACUUAUGACGCGGUUCAAGAUAACUCCCUAUAUUGAAGUGCAAAUAAUAAAGAUACGAAUGAUGGAUGUUACGUAAUAAGAUUAUAAUUUGAAAUAGUAUGCUAGAAAGUAACAUGACAAACAAAUCCUGAAACCGUAAACAACAAACAUACAAAAGCCAGUUUGGUAUCAAGAACAAGGUUGGACCGAAACCGUAAACAACAAACAUACAAAAGCCAGUUUGGUCCAAAACCCGAAACCCGAUUUAGUACCCGGAACUGGACCGGACCGAACCCCGACCCGCUACACCUAAAAACGGUCCAGUUCUCGGGUAAGGUAAUUCAUGGUUUUCGGUCUUCAGGCUGGUCCGGUUCGGGUUCUGCUCGUUGCUCUAUAUUGAACCAUAUUAAUUUGAAACUACGAAAACUCUUCGGCUUAUAUUUUAAGUUUCUAUUUGGUGUGUUAGCUGAAAAAACUAGUUUUUAACUUAUAAGCUAGUUUAUCCAUAAACUAUCUCGGAUAACUUAGACAAAACUGCAAAAUUGGUCCUUGUGGUAUGCAUUUUUUCUGAGGUUUAAUCCAAACCUCGAUUUUUUUGGAUUGGUGGUCCUUUUUGGUCCCUUGAAAAAUUGAAAAGACUAAAAUGCCCUUCUGAACAGUUUAUAUGUUAUUUUCUAUUUAAUUUAAAAUUAUAUUAAUUAAAAAUAUAGGGCCCACCUCUUUCUUUCUUUCUUUCUUUCUCUCUCUCUCUCUCUCUCUCUCUAUAUAUAUAUAUAGCCAUUUGGGUUUGUCUUUGACAAACAUCUAAUAACAUCUUCAUAAAUUCAAGAACACUCAAGAACAUCUUAUGCCAUCACCACCAUUCGACCACCGUCCUCCACCACCACUGUCUGCCACCUCCAUCUCCACCUGAACUUUUUAUACCACUUUAUAUCCGCCUAAAAUCAUCCCAAAAACAAAAAUCAUACACAAAAUAUGGGUUUGUUCUUGAGUUUCCCCUUAAAAAUAAUCACUAGAUCUGAUGCCUCAUCAAGAGCUCAUGAACACACACACCCACCCACAUUCAAGAACACAUUCAUGAACCCCAUAUCUGAUGAGCACACAAACACAAACACACAUUAUAUCAGAUCUGAUGAAGGGUUUUUGGAUGAACACAUUCAAGAACAAAUUUUUGAACCCUAGAUAUAAGGAACACACGAACAAAAUCAGAUCGAGUUCAUGGGUUCUCGGGUUCUUCAUCCAAAAAACAAAGAUCUAAAACCAAAACGAACAUUUGACCCCUCAGUGGCAGAUUUCUUCGUCCCCAUCUUCCAAAAACCCAUAUUGUAUGUGUGUAUUUUGUGACAUCCCCGAUUUCACGGCCACAAAAGACCGAUUUGAUUAUGAUUAUUUAAAUCAGAAUAUUCUUUUCAAAAGAGUAAUAAUGUGGAAUUUGUUCCAAAAAAUAUGACAAUAUCAUUAUUAAAGCAUUUCCGAGGAAAUGUAUUUCAUUUAUAUUUAAAAACCUUGGGAUGUCAUGGUCAAUACAACAACAUAAGCAUAAAACGUAAUAUUACAGGCCUUACAAUAGUUUAUUAUUCUAUUGGCCUAUUCUCCUUUAAAUCUCACUCCAAAUUUAAACUCAUCACACCUAUGCUCUUACGCUGCUACCUGUGAAACAAAGAAACUGAGUGGGUUAGGCUUCGGAAAGCCUGAUGAGCACAUAGGGUUUUCAACCCACAAUAAUUAAAUUUAUUAAUUUCAUCAAUCAAUCAACUCGGUUAUCCGUUCCCGUUAUCCUCACUUUUUGUCCCUAAAACAUCUAAAUUAAGGGACUUAGCCUAAGGAUUUUUCAUCGGGGUGACAGCACUGCAUAGGGGAUUCCUCAACAAUAUAUGUUAAAAGGCAACCAUAGGGGAAUGGAGUACAUCUGGUGAACAUUUAGUUCAAAAACACCUACAUGUUUCGAGCCUACCACCGUUCCACUAGACUGUCUAGAAUAGUUUGUGGUCGUCAUCUAUACUCCGCUAGAUGACUGGAUCAUCUUAAACACUCUAGGCCUAUCAUUAUUUAUUUUAUCAUCUAUAUCAUCUACCCAUCUUUACCCUUUAUAUUUAUAGGUACAAAAUACAUACAUAGUUUAAAUCGAAUAAAACAUGUAUAUUUUGUUCAUCCAACAUACAUAUCAAGAACACAGAUAAUAUACACACAUAACACGUAAUUUUUAUUAAAUACUUCAUAUUUAUGUAUAAGAUGAAAAUAACUAUGCACUCACUUGACUAGUUAGUGGUUACUAACUAUGUUCUUAAUCGUCGUUAUAUCACACUUUCUUUAUUUAUGACUCCUUGCUCGAAAAUUCUGAACUCUAAUUUCAAAAUUUCUGGCCCUUCUUUAUAUCGAGUAUAUCUUUGGCUAUUAUUGUUUUCUAUCAUAAGAAUUGCUCAAAGGAUACCUCUAUUUAUAUAAAGGAUUUUUGAAUCGCCCGUACAAUAUCAAAAGAUUAGUCACCCAAAAAAAUUACACGUAUAACUUCAAUAAAUUAGAUGUGUACGAACAUACUUGAAAGGUUAACACAUAUUCUUCUGAUAUUGACUCUAAAUUAGAAGGUGUAUUAUUACUUCUCUUUUGUCAACACAUAUCAUUUUAAUUAAUAAAAUAUGUACGACAUGUAUUAUAUUUCUUACAGGUAUGUUGGUUUGCAAUUUACAAAUCAAUUAUAGUUACAUUUAUGGUCCAUAAGUUAUUAUUGUAUUAACACAAUAUAUCAUUCAAGUUACACUGUAGUCCCUCAGCUGCAUGGAGCCCCUAAUAAGAAUAAAGAACAAGUAAGAGACGAUCACCCACUUAUUUGUUUGGAUCGGUCCGAUCCAAUCAAAUUAAGUAAAUUCAACUUAAUUCCGGUUUACAAAACAUUGAUUCAAAUAGUUCAAACUAAAUUCAAAUUCGGUAUGAAUUAAUCAAAUUACAAUUCGAUUUUCAAGAGUCGGAAUGUUUUAAAAUAGUUAUAAUUUGAAUAUUAGCUGACUUUAUAAAAGAAAUAUAAUCAAAUGGUUAGUUGUAAAUUAAAAUUUAUAAACUGUUAAGGAAAAUAUAUUUUGAUUCAUUAGAUAAAAAAAUCUUGAAAAAAAAAUACAUAUUAAGGUUUUUAUUAGGAGAGUGUUUCUAACCUAUUUAAAAAACAAUUCAGUAAAUUAAUAAAUAAUUAAAAGUAUAUAUUAAAAAUUAAAAUAUAUAUAUCUAUUCUAAUAAAUGAAAGUGUUUUUUGUCACAUGUUACACUCUCACUCAAUUUAUCAAAUGUCAUUUUGUGGUUAUUUUGAAUUAAUUUAUUUUUCCAAAUGUCAUGUUAUGUUUUUUUUUUUAUUUUAAUAAAGUUCACAUAAUAUUUAAAUGUAAUAAUUACAAUAAAUUUAGUAAUAAAUAAAUAUAAAUUUCAUUAAUGGAUAAAAAAAUCAAUUUUAAAAGAUAAAAAAAAUCAAUUUUUAUAAUUCAUUAUUUUUUUUUUAUAAAUUCAAAGUUCUUAAAUAUUUAGACAUUUAUAAUUAAUUUUUUUGAUUAACUCAUAUAAUCCAUGAGUCUUAUAGUUUACAAAAUAUUUAUCAAAUAAAGAUAUACUUGCAUGCUGUAAGAUAAUUUUUUUUACUAAUUUACCACCCCGGCCUUUCUAACAAUAAUUUGUAUUAUAUAAAAGACAAUGUUUUCUAAAUAAAUAAAAGAUAUUAGUUUAUUUUAUAUAUAGACAACCACAUAUCAUUUCCAUAUAUAACAUGAUGGUUGUUCAGAUCCGUGAUUAUUUAAUUUAAACUAUUAAAUAUGUAUUUUAUGAGUCGGUGAUUUCUAACACUAUUAAAAAAAGGGACAUUGUAACGAAACUAAAAGGCCGAGUUUCCUGUAAGCAGCUGACUGAAGCCAGACAGUCAAGCCAAGCUGAUUCUCCCCGCUCUCGACCAAAAUCUAUUACUAUUUUCAUCAUCACCGACACCCUCCCCCUCUCUUUUCUUAACAAAUCAAUACAAAUGAUUAAUAUGCAGUAAUCAUCGAAAGUGAGAUCAAGAAUGGGCCCUUUUCUUCUCACGCCAAUGCCCAUCAAACUUCAUUGAUUAUCAAGUUCCUUCAAAUUCAAAUCAAGAACGAAAAAAUCAAUUUCUAUCAUCUGGGGCUCUUCUUUAGUCCCCUGUUUCUACUUUAAUUGGAAUACAUGGAGGCAAAUGCAGGAUUAGUUGCCGGAUCUCAUAAGAGGAACGAGUUGGUGAGAAUAAGACAUGAUUCCGAUGGAGGGGUAUGUGUUCUUUCGAUUUUUCUUGAAUACCCUUUUGGAUUUUGAGUGUUCAGAAAUCAAUUUUAUCGACUCUUGUAUAGAUCUAAGUGAUUUAACAGUAGGCUAUUUUGUUUAACCCAAGUUUGUUUAUUUUGUUUGGAUCUGAGUGAUCAGUGUGACCAGUGAGCUCAGUAAUGAGUGAUGAUACGACUUUUGACUUAUUAAUCCUACCUUUUUGUUAAAUCUUCAAAGAGGGUUUUUUGUUAAAUUUGUGGAUUUAGAUCUGAAUCAUCGAGAUGAAAGUUUCUGUUUUCAGCGCCCAUCUUGAUUAAUUUGACAAAAUUUUCAGCUUUAGCACAUGAUGAUUUCUUAAAUUAUUUAAUUUUGAUUGUGACGUUGAGUGUUGAUGAUGCAGCCGAAGCCUUUAAAGAAUAUGAAUGGACAGAUAUGUCAAAUCUGUGGCGACACCGUCGGCCUGACUGAAAACGGCGACGUUUUUGUUGCUUGCAACGAGUGCGCAUUCCCGGUUUGUAGACCCUGCUACGAGUACGAAAGAAGAGACGGAAAUCAAGCAUGCCCUCAAUGCAAAACUCGAUACAAAAGACACAAAGGUUAGUUUUUGAGUUUUUGUUCGUAUCAAGAACACAUCAAACAUAUGAUUUUUGUAAGAAUUAAAGAGAGAUACAAAUGUUUUUAGGGAGUCCCCGAGUUGACGGUGAUGAUGACGAGGACGAUGUUGAUGACCUGGAAAACGAGUUUGAUUAUGCACAAGGGAGACGACAAUGGCAAGGAGAAGAUCCGGAUCUUUCUUCAUCUUCUAGAAGACAUGAAUCACAGCAACCAGUUCCCCUUCUCACUAAUGGCCAACAAGUAAGAAAAUUACUUAUAUACCCUUUUGUUCUAAGCAUUACCUUUUUAACUAAAUUCAGAGUGUUAUUUUCAGGUAUCUGGUGAAAUCCCAAUUGCCACACCGGACAAUCUAUCUGUAAGAAGUACAUCGGGUCCAUUAGGCCCUGGUGACAAGCCUGUCCGCUAUAUGGAUCCAAGACAACCAGGUUACUUUCUUUUUUUUUUUUUUUUUUUUUAAAAAAAAAGUAUUAUUAUUAAUCAGAUAAUGUUGUAGUAAUUAUGCUAAUGAUGCCCUUUUAAUAAAUAGUUCCUGUAAGAAUUGUGGACCCAUCAAAGGAUUUAAAUUCAUAUGGGCUUGGGAAUGUGGACUGGAAGGAAAGGGUAGAAGGCUGGAAACUAAAACAAGACAAAAACAUAAUGCAAAUGGCAAACAGAUACAAUGGCGGUGAAGGGAGAGGAGGUGAGAUUGAAGGCACGGGAUCAAAUGGAGAAGAAUUGCAACUGUAAGUAGUAAACUAAAGGGUACUUUAGGAAUAUCAUAUUUGUCGACUUAUGAUUUGACUUUUUUUUUUUUUUUUUUUUUUUUUUUUUUUUANUUUGUUUUGUUUUUUUUUUUUUUUUUUUUUUUUUUUUUUUUUUUUUUUUUAAAUAUAUAUAGGGUUGAUGAUCCAAGACAAUUAAUGAGCCGUGUGGUGCCUAUUUCAUCUUCUCAUUUGACUCCAUAUCGAGUUGUGAUUAUAUUGCGAUUGAUUAUUUUGGGAUUUUUCUUGCAAUAUCGGUUGACUCAUCCUGUUAAUGAUGCGUAUCCUUUGUGGCUUGUAUCUGUUAUUUGUGAGGUGUGGUUUGCUUUUUCUUGGCUUCUUGAUCAAUUUCCAAAAUGGUCCCCCGUUGAACGUGAGACCUUCCUUGAUCGCCUUGCAUUGAGGUAAGUAAGUAAUGGGAUUUAGAUUUUGGGCUAAUUGCAAGAAAUAGCAAUGUACUUUCAUUUGUAGUCAUCAUCAUGGGCAAUUAGGUAAUUUUAGCUUAAACAAUGAAAAUUUGUUGUUUUGUAGGUUUGAUAGGGAAGGAGAGCCUUCACAAUUGGCACCUAUAGAUGUCUUUGUGAGUACAGUGGAUCCAUUAAAAGAGCCUCCUCUCAUCACUGCAAACACAGUGUUGUCUAUUCUUGCUGUGGAGUAUCCUGUUGACAAAGUCUCCUGCUAUGUAUCUGAUGAUGGAUCUGCUAUGCUUACAUUUGAGUCUCUUUCUGAGACAGCAGAGUUUGCAAAAAAGUGGGUCCCAUUCUGCAAGAAGCAUAGCAUCGAGCCCAGAGCCCCUGAGUUUUAUUUUGCUCAAAAGAUAGAUUACUUGAAGGACAAGAUCCAGCCUUCUUUCGUCAAAGAACGUAGAGCAAUGAAGGUGAGUUUUACCACUUUUAUGUUUUAUGUUUUAUGAUUUCUUCCAGUGUUUUACCAAAUACCUAAAACACCCUUUUAUGGCAGAGAGAAUACGAAGAAUUCAAAGUUCGGGUCAAUGCACUUGUAGCAAAAGCACAAAAGAUGCCGGAAGAAGGCUGGUCUAUGCAGGAUGGAACUCCUUGGCCUGGAAACAACCCCCGUGAUCAUCCUGGAAUGAUUCAGGUAUUUGAAUGAUUGUUUGGUUGCUGAAAAUUUGUAUAUCAACAGUUGAUUGUUGACUUCUCUUGUUUAUGAUGAUUGGAAUUGGAUAGGUGUUCUUGGGGCACAGUGGAGGUUGCGAUACAGAUGGAAAUGAGCUACCUCGUCUUGUUUACGUGUCCCGUGAAAAACGUCCUGGGUUUCAACAUCACAAGAAAGCCGGUGCCAUGAAUGCUUUGGUAUGGAUCUCUUAAAAAAACAUGGAAAUUUUUUGUGUUUAUUGGUUGUUUAUGGAUGCGAUGCAAUUUGGUGUUACAGAUUAGGGUUUCGGCGGUUUUGACGAAUGGCGCGUACCUUUUGAACGUCGAUUGUGAUCACUACUUCAACAACAGCAAAGCUCUAAAAGAAGCCAUGUGUUUCAUGAUGGAUCCUGCCUAUGGAAAGAAGACAUGCUAUGUUCAAUUCCCACAGAGAUUCGACGGGAUUGAUUUACACGAUCGAUAUGCUAAUCGCAAUAUCGUCUUCUUCGAUGUGCUUUUCUGAACUUUACAGAGUCAAACUUAAAAAAAAAAAUUCAAAUUCAAAUUCCGAUCUUGUUGGGAUUUCAAAAAUCAAAAAUUGACAUUUCUAUAUAUAUAUAUUUUGUACAGAUUAACUUGAAAGGGCUGGAUGGGAUUCAGGGGCCGGUUUACGUGGGAACUGGUUGCUGUUUCAAUCGACGAGCUCUGUAUGGAUACGACCCUGUUUUAACAGAGGCUGAUUUAGAACCAAAUAUCAUUGUGAAAAGCUGUUGUGGUUCACGAAAGAAGUCGAGAAACGUUAACAAGAAGUACGUGGAUAAAAAAGCAGUGAUGAAAAGAACGGAAUCCAACACUCCAAUUUUAAACAUGGAUGAUAUCGAUGAGGGUGUUGAAGGUUUGAUUUUGAGUCUUUCACUUUAGUUUGUGGGUCCAGUGAAUCAUUAAUGUUGACUAAAUUCUUUUGUUUUUGAAAGGGUAUGAUGAAGAUAGAUCGUUACUAAUAUCGCAAAAGAGCUUAGAGAAGCGAUUUGGUCAAUCUCCUGUAUUUGUUGCUGCAACUUUCAUGGAGAUGGGAGGAAUUCCCCCCACUACCAAUCCAGCUACCCUUUUGAAGGAAGCAAUACAUGUUAUUAGCUGUGGUUAUGAGGAUAAAACCGAGUGGGGUAAAGAGGUAAUUUUACCCUUCUAGCUUCCGAUUCUUGUUAUACAUGGUCAUCGGAAAAACAAUAAUCUUCAUGUUAUUUUGUUUUGUGUACAAAUGCAAGCAGAUUGGAUGGAUUUAUGGGUCUGUGACAGAAGAUAUUUUAACUGGAUUCAAGAUGCACACAAGAGGAUGGAUCUCAAUAUAUUGCAUGCCACAACGUCCGGCUUUCAAGGGUUCUGCUCCGAUCAAUCUUUCCGAUCGUCUGAACCAGGUCCUCCGGUGGGCUUUAGGUUCAAUCGAGAUUUUACUCAGUAGACAUUGCCCCAUCUGGUAUGGGUAUAAUGGUAAAUUAAAACUCCUGGAGAGGCUCGCAUACAUAAACACCAUCGUCUAUCCCCUCACCUCCAUCCCUCUUCUAGCCUACUGUGUACUUCCGGCCGUCUGCCUUCUCACCGGAAAAUUCAUCAUCCCCGAGGUACGUUAAUCAUGCUUUAUGAGUUGUACGAUAUGCAUGAAUGUUUGUACAUGUUGAAAAUUGGGGGUUUUGCAACAGAUAAGCAACUAUGCUAGUAUGUGGUUUAUUCUUCUCUUUAUCUCCAUCGCUGCAACCGGAAUCUUGGAGCUCCGGUGGAGUGGCGUGAGUAUUGAAGACUGGUGGAGAAACGAACAGUUUUGGGUGAUAGGAGGCACGUCCGCUCAUCUAUUCGCCGUCUUCCAAGGUCUUCUCAAAGUUCUCGCCGGAAUCGACACCAAUUUCACCGUCACAUCCAAGGCAAACGACGAAGACGGUGAUUUUGCAGAACUCUAUAUAUUCAAAUGGACGGCGCUCCUCAUCCCACCCACCAGUGUUCUGAUCGUAAACCUAAUCGGCAUAGUUUCCGGCGUUUCAUCUGCAAUCAACAGCGGUUACCAGUCGUGGGGCCCACUUUUUGGGAAACUGUUUUUUGCAAUCUGGGUUAUCGUCCAUUUAUACCCGUUUCUCAAAGGUCUGUUGGGUCGGCAAAAUCGAACCCCCACCAUUGUUAUCGUGUGGUCGAUUCUGCUUGCUUCGAUUUUCUCCCUUUUGUGGGUUCGUAUCGACCCCUUUACCACAGACGAUACUCUUGAUGCAGUUAAAGGACAAUGCGGGAUCGAUUGUUAGGUAUAUAUAUAUAAAGUUUCUGAUUUGCAAAUUUGUGUAAGCCGUGAUGUGAUGCGAUGUGAUGUGUACGAAUGAUAUAAUUAUUUGAUUUAUUGUUGUUAUCCCACGAAUUCAAUGAAAAAUUUAAGUAUAACCUUAUCUUAAUAUGUCGGUUCAUUACAUUCAAUUAAGUUGAGUUGUAUGCAAAUUUCUUGUUAUUAUACAGUAUAUUACAAAAUUCAAACACUAUCUUCUUCAUAUUUAAUUUCAUGAAUUUAGUCUUCAACAAGUACAUAUAUAUAAAACAAAACAUGAAAUUCCAUACACACCAAGGUUCAUGUCAGAUCCUGAAACAAAAGAUUAAAGAAAAUAAAGUUAGAUGGUUGUAAAUUGUAACCUAAUGAAAUAUAAGAAAAGUUGGGGUUUUACUUACUCAAUAUAUUCAACGUUGAUUUUCUCCCUUUGAGACUUGGAAAUGGCAGAAAAAGCAUCAUUUGACAAAACAAUAGUCGAAGGACACGGCCUUUUGGAACAAAAAUCUACCACCUUAACAUCAAUGGUACCAUCUCUACAUGGUUUAUUAUUUCCACUCAAACACUUGAGUCUGUAUCGCCUACCACAUGCUGCACCGUUAUCCCAUAGUCCUUCGCUCACUGACACAAAUAAGUUCCCCAAUGGGAAUUGAUCUGCUCGGUUGCCAUUGCACCUUGUGGCUACAUUAAAAAUACAUAUAAAAAAAAAUACUUCAAUUUAACUAUUAUUUAUUUAUUUAUUUACAAUGUCAAAAACAUAAUAAUUAGAAUCAUAUUUAAACUUACGUGUAUAAGGAGGCUCAUAGGAUGAGGCAGUGCCAAUUUCACUCAAACCACACUUGAUGUUAUUGAAGAUUAACAAUAAAAAUAAAUUCACAAUCACUCCAAUUCCCAUCGCUACAAAUUCCCUUUUCUUUUUUCUCUCUCUCUGUCAAAUACUAUGGUAGUAAGAUGCACCCCCUUGGAUUAUAUAUAGAUAUCGUAUGGAUUUAUUUAAAAGAUAUAGGUAUAGUUUGAGAUAUAUUGUCACGUGUUUUUUAAUAGAAAUGUGCUUAGCAUGUAUAUAGAAUGAAUGAAAAGUUGGUGAUCAAAUUGGAUAAACUAUAGAUGUUUAAUGUGAUAUAUAUCUACCUUUGCGCAUGAAAAAUGGAUUUAAUAGGUUUUGGUCAAUUGUGAUAUAAAGUUCUUGAUGCCUACCACUAAUUAGUUUAAGGAAAGAUGGUUUCUAACGUAAACAUAAAACAACUUUUCUAUCGUCUCUUUUAAACAGAAAAAAUAGUCAAUUUUGACAAUGGCACAAAAAGGCAAUGGAAAAGCAUAUGUAAGGAUUAUUAGAUAAAACGAUAGUGUUUUAAUGGAGAAAAAUUAUAUUUUCGGUGAAUUUUUUUUAGUUGAUAAACCCAUUGUUGGUGUCGAAUCUAUGAAAUUAUUUUGGCUUAUACGUCGGCUGACCGAUAUGAUUACCAAAGAAAGGUGCAUCCAGUACAAUCACCACUAACUAAAACCAAUGGCUCUAAACUGUUCGCAAUUUUUUAAGGAAGGGAAAUUCAUAUUUGAAUUCGUCACUACAAAGUGUUACAUGAUUCGUUAUUAAUAAAUAUUUUAUAUUACCUUUUAUCAUAUAAAUAAACAAUCCAAAUUUUAUUUUUAGAUGCAUAUUUCACAAAGCUUUUGUGUUUUUUUCGGUUCAAGUUUGUGUUAAAGUAAUUCAAUAUAGAUGGAGAAUGUCGUUCAAUAAAAGUAGUUUGUGUUAAAGUAAUUCUAUACAGAUGGAAAAUGAUGUUCAAUAAAAGUUUAGAAUAUCAGAUAAUCAAAAUUAGUUUGUCGAUAAGAUUUAUUAUUUUAAAAGAUGGGAUAUAUAUACUAAACUCUCAAUAUUUUUAACGAUUCAACAAAAAAGUCUUAAAUUUUAUUUUUUUAGAGUAAAAUCCUAACUAGCGGCAGUUUUUGACAUGUUUACCAUUUUUUGCCAGUUAGCCAGUAAUUAUGGUUUUACUAUAAAAAAAUAAAAUUUAUGACUUUCUUUUUCAAAUCGUGAAUUAAGACAUUACUGUAAAAAAAAAUUAAAGUUUAGGACUUUCUUAUCAAAUCGUUAAAAAUAUAGGGACUUUAGUGUAUAUAUCCAUUUUUUUGUUAGAAAUUUAAUGUCAUUAUAAUCUUUAAGUAUAAGAGUUAUUGAAAUCUGACCAAUAUGCUCUGGUCAACUAGAUUCUAUUAAAAUCAUUAACGUUUGAUUCUUGUUAAAUAGUUUUUUUUUAAUCUCAACAAAUCGACAUUGAAAAAAAUAAAGAUAAUCAAGAAAGAAAGAACCACGAUUGUGUUGAAUUUUUGCAUAAUGAUAAUCAAGAAAGAAAGAACCAGUAUCGUGUUGAGUUUUUUGCAAUCCUAAAAAUGGAGAAUUAAGAAACCGGAAAAGAAGAAAUUGUCCUUCUUACACAUUCUCCACAUUCACACAUUUUUUACCGGACAUGUGUUGUUUGUGUUUGUUGAAUUUGUUCCUCUUUUCAGUUCAAGAUUUGACGGCGAACCAAGAAAAAAGUUUUACAAGUCUUCUUACCCUCUAUCGUUCUCUCUUUUGCAUCAGUUUCCCAGAUUGUGAUCGUAGCAAAGUAAGAUGAUGAUGGUAAGAAAAAACAAUGGUGUUGCAAUAAAAAUCACAAUUAAAAGUUCUUGGGAUAGGAAUUAGGUCUCAUGAGACUGAUAAAAUUAUUUGUUUCUAGGGAAACCAAACCUAUACACUAAAGUCUCAAUAUUUUUAACGAUUUAACAAAAAAGUCAUAAACUUUAUUUUUUUGACAGUAAAACCCUAAUUACCGGCUAACCGGCAAAAAAGAGUAAAUGUUUCAAAAACUGUCGAUAAUUAGGAUUUUACUGUCAAUUGAUUUUAAUAUUUUCAUGCAAAAGACAACUGUAUUACGAAAGAAAUAACUGUUAACCGUAACUACAAUAAGGUAUUAAAGUUAUAGAAGUUUCAAUCCUAAUAACGCAUAAUUUUCACUUUUGGUUUAAUAUGUUUAUAUUAUUUAUCUAAAAAACAAAAUCAUAAUAAAUAUAUUUUGAUUAAAUGUCACAGAAAAACCACGCCCAUGUCAAUUUUGAUUGUUACAAAAUGACAAUUUUUUUGAAAAGAGAUAUCAUACCGUAUUAAUAAGGUGGUGUUUGUUUUUUUUUCAAAAGCUCUUCUAGACCUUUUAUGUCUGCAUCGCGUAGACGACCCACAAACUUUUAGUCCUAUAGACUGUUUGUUUUUUAGAAGACCGUACGCAUAAAAAAAUCUGUCCAUCCUCUUCUUGACGUAGAUGUGAACAUAUGUCUUCUAGUCUCUUUCUUAAUCUUUCCACUAAUCUUAAGAGACAAUAAAAAAGCGCAAAAAGAAUAAAAAAAUGAAAAAAAAAACCUAUCAAACCUCAUUCGUGCACCUUUUUUUUUAAUUCAUUUGCCAUGUAAACACUUUGUAAAUAUAUUAUUUUAAUGAUUUUAGCUUUAUAAACUUUAUUUGGUCAAAUAAUUUUUUGGUAUUCAUAUUUUAAAAAACUUUAUGCAUAUUUAUCCGAUGACUUUUUAUAACAGUAAUUAAAAAAGUUAAAUAUACUACAAAACUUAUGAAAGUAUUUUACGAACGUGUUUUUUUUCUUCAUAAAAUGGACAAUUAAUUUGUUAUAUAUAUAUAUAUAUGCUUAUUAUAUGAUAACUAGGCUCGUGCGUGUGAACAAGUCUCCGUUUGCCACCUAGCACGGUAUCUNNNNNNNNNNNNNNNNNNNNNNNNNNNNNNNNNNNNNNNNNNNNNNNNNNNNNNNNNNNNNNNNNNNNNNNNNNNNNNNNNNNNNNNNNNNNNNNNNNNNNNNNNNNNNNNNNNNNAUAUAUAUAUAUAUAUUGAAAAUAAGGUGGUUGUAUUAUUAAAUUACAAUGUUUUUAUAUAAGAAAUAUUGAAAAAGUCUUUUAAAUUAAAAAAAAAAUCAAUUUAUUUAGGUUUUAAUUUAUUUUAGCAGUUUGUAGAUUUUAAAAAACAAACAGUCUUCUUGCAGACUGCAGACGUUUGGUCCAUAUCUUCUACUGCAGAUGUCGUCCGCAGACUGCAGACAUUUUGCUUCUGAAAAACAAACACCAUCUAAGUUUCAAACGCAUAAACAUUUAUUAACAAAAGACAUGUAAACGUGGAUUAUGAACUAAUGACAUAGAUAUACGAUAAGUACUAUAAAGAGGAAAAAGCAUAGUUAAGAUUGACCCAAAUUGUAAUGAUUAUAGUCUUGCUAAUGUAAAUAUUUAAUUAGUUUUUCUUGAUAAUCAUGAUAAAUGAUACUUUUUGACUCAUGAGUGAUGAAUAAACAAUAGUAUAUAUAGAUUUACUAAGACGAAAAAAGACAUGAGUUUUAAUGAUAGAAUAUUAUUGAAAAAAUAAUAAAGAAUAUGAUCAACUUUAAAUUAGUGCCCGGAUAAAAUCGAAGUUUUAGAAAGUGCUGAUUAGUGGCGAUCCUUCAUUUUUUUAUAACUUUAUUUCAAAUUAAUGGUAAUCAUGUAUAAUAAUUAAUAAACUUACAAUACGCUAAUAUACAUUACAAUCAUUUUCAUCCUAUGUGAAAAUAAUUUUUGACAUAUUAUUCGUUUUCAAAUUAUAUAGAUGCAUAGGCAAUAAUAUGUCUUUUAUGUGAAAUAAUGUGUGUUUUUUUUAUGUGAAAACAUGUUUUUUAUAUAUAAAAAUAUAUUUUCACAUAAAAAAAACCUGUUAUGCAAAAAACCUUUUGGACCAAAUUUAUAUAGAAACAUAUUUUUCACAUAUAAAAACCUUUUUAUAACAAAAAUGUUUUGUAAAAAAGGUUUUUAGUAUAAAUAUGAUUUUAUAAAGCAAAAAUAACAUAUUUCGAAACAAAAUUUUGGAAAAAUAUAUGUAAAAAAAACAAAAUUUAAGAUGAAAUUGUAACAAAAUUUUAAAAUAGGGACAAAAAUAUAAAAAUUGGACCAAAUUUAUAACAAAAUUUAAAAUCUGAGAAAAAAAUGUAAAUUUUAAAACUGGGAUGACCUUAUAGCCGGGAAAAAUGAUGAAAAUGAAUAUAUUUACCUGUAUUCGUAUCUUAAUUAAAAAAAUAAUAAUUUAAAUACUUAAUUGAAUAUAAGGUUAAAAAUAUAAACACUUUAUAGAUUUUCCUAUACUAAAUACUAUAGCAAAAUAUGUGGAAUUUGGUAUUUAGUAACUUUGGUCUCACUUUUGUUAAAUUUCUAUUUUCUAUCAUUUUACUUUUUGAAAAUUCGUUUUUACCUCUCGAUUUUUCUACUUAUUAACUUUGGUCCAUCACUUUUGUUAAGUUCUCAAAUUUUCAUCCUUUUUACUUUUGAAAUUGUUGCUUUUACCCCCUUUAACUUUCAACUUUCUAGAUACUCAACUCACUCAGCAUGAAGUAUAAGAAAAAAGAGAAGAGAGAGAGAGAGAGAGAGAGAGGAAGCAGCGGGCUGAAGAACCCACAUGAGACGUCUUCUGGCGGUAACCACCAAGGCGUGGAUUUGUUACCCUAGCCGUCGCACGACUCCGUGCACCCUUGGAGAGUAAUCAGUGUUAAAACACUAAGUUGCUUGAAAUAAGGAAUUUGAAGUUAAAUUGAAAAUUUAAAUGUAGAUACGAAAACACAUCAUCUUGCUAACUUGACAACUUAACGCCAUCUUAAGUGGAUACCAUAGAAUGACCCACGAGUGGCGAAUUUAAAAAAAGAAUCACAUGGUUCCUAAUUAAGUGAAGCCAAUAAAAAAAAUCAACAAUACUUUUGGAGUCGGGUCAGGUCGGCUCAUGUACCUUAAAAGAACUGAACAAGUUCAAUCGGCUCAUGUACCUUGUAACGACCCGUCUCUGGUAUGUUGUUUCCAUGUUAUUUAUUUAGAAGUUUUCAAGAGGGACUCGGGGAGUCUAUAGCCCGACUCGUCGAGUAGAGACGGGAUUUCGAGCACGUGUAAGUCGCCGACUCAACGAGUCCAUAUUCGAGACUCGGCGAGUCCGCCUGCUAGGAAGAAACCCUAAAUCCCCGGGUUUGCUCACUAUUUAAGCAAUGUUAUGUGCCCCAAACUCGCCUCCUUCACCCUCAGAGAGCUUGAGAGAAACCCUAAACCAUUCCUUGUAUGACUAAAGUGUUUUGUGUGGAUUCUUGAAGGAAAAAGAAGAAAGGACCCAAAAAGAGGAAGUGUAGAGCAAAGAUCCAAGGCCAAAGUCAGAGUUCAUUGAGGUAUGUCUCGGAAUUAUUCUGUUUUGUGCUUAAAACCUCCAUUAGAACACCUCUAAGGCUAGUUUAAUGUAUUUUCCAAGCUUUAUAGUUGUAUGGAUGCCUUGUUGGGUCGAGAUAUCCCUAGAUCUGUUCAUUUAGGAGUUUUAGAGCCCUGAUCUAGUGCCUUUUCGAAGUUUCUUUGCUUGAGAACCCUAGAUCUAGCCUUUAUUAUGCUUUUUGAGCCUUUUAAUCUUCAUGGGUGCAUAUGGGCACGUAAAGAUAGAAUCUUUACGUGUUAAUCGAGCUUAGGGAGCCCAGAUCUAUAAGUUUUAUGCGUUGGAUUCAAGCAGAAUCGAGUUUAUAGUAGCUGCAUGCAUGCGACUCGGCGAGUCGUUCUUCCGACUCGGUGAGUCGAGUCGUGAGUCCCCGAUUUUUCCUCUUUUGAGUAAUGCCGAGUGGGGACCAGUGAGUAGUAGAGUGGACUUAGUGAGCUGGAGGUCAGACUCAGUAAUGGAGGGACUCGACGAGUUGUUCAUACAACUCGGCGAGUCCAAGGCAAUCUUCUUAGCUCAAGAACAACUCGUCGAGUUGUUCAUACGACUCGGCGAGUCGGAUGCAGAUAGCUUGAGUUCUAGAAUCGAAAGGAAACUCGUCGAGUUUAUGCCAUACUCGACGAGUAGCAGCGAGUAGGGUUGAGAAGUGAGAAUAGGGACUAGGCGAGUUGGCGGCCCAACUCGGCGAGUCAGGUCAACUGUAGGUUGACUUUGACCAGGAGAGUUGACUUUGACCAGGGGUAAAAGAAUCAUUUUACCCCAAUACAGUGAUUAGUAUUUGAUUGAGUGUGUUUAUGGAAUUGUAGCCGGAGAGAUACCAGAGCAGCAGCAGAUAGCUUCCAGAGCCAUACAUUCAGCAGCCAGUUUACGAGGUGAGUUUCCUACCAGUAGGAACGGGUCUACGACAACAAUGCCGGCCCGUUUAGCUAGCAGUUAGUUCCGGACUUCGGUCCGAAGCAGUAGUUCAAGGUGCUUGAUGUUGUGUUUCGGGCAUGUCUAUGUGUUAUGUUAGCAGAUACGUGUUUAUGUUAUGCUAUGUUCAGACAGUUCCGGAUUUCGGUCCGAUGCAGCUAGUUCCGGACUCCGGUCCGAUGCAGGGGACAAGGUCCCAGUCAGUUCCGGAUUUCGGUCCGAUGCAGACAGUUUCGGACUUCGGUCCGAUGCAGUCAAUUCCAGACUUCGGUCCGAUGCAGUGGGCAAGGCCCAGUAUGUGCUUUAUUUGUUAUUGUGUGGUAUGCGGUAGUUUAGGGGAGCUCACUAAGCUUCGUGCUUACAGUUUCAGUUUUGGUUUCAGGUACUUCCGCAAGUAAAGGGAAGAACUCGGGAUGAUGCAUCGCACACACCACAACUUCAGUUUUUGUCGUGGGAGUUGAUUCAGUUUCUUAGAUAUGUUUUGAUACUGUUGUGACACAUUUUUUCUCACAGUAUUUUAUUAUGUGAUACUCAGUUUUAUGAUCUUUGUUAUAAUAUAAAUGAAAUUAUCGGGUCGUAUUUUUGGGAUGUUUCAAGUACCUUGUGCCACCGAUUAAAAAAAUUUUAAAAACCGAUUGAAAUAUAACUGAAAAAGACAUACAGCUUAACGAAAAACUAGUUGAUUAUUAGUCCAUUGAUAAAGCGGCGAACGCAGAGUGAGAGUCUUUGGCAUGUGGGCUUUCAUUUUAUUAGAACAACUUGUUUAUUUAUUAAUAUUUUGAGAGUGCCGAUUAAGAGUAGUUAACUUUUUAUUAUCAAUCUCAUAAUUUAAAAUAACAAAUUGUCCCUAAUAACUUAUAUUUUUCUCUUUUUAAAGUGGUUUUUUUUUUUAAAAAUAAAAAUAAAAAUAAACUCAAUGUAGGUUCUCUAUUUUUUUAAGACUAAAUUACACAGAUGGUCCCUGUGGUUGGCACGAGAGACCAAAGAUAGUCCUUAUGAGGAAUUUUGGACUUGUAUGGUCCCCGUGGUUCCAAAUUGUUGCACGAAGAGUCCUUAUGACAUACUCCGUUUAAUUGUUGUCGUUUAUUUAAAUCACGUAACCCUCACACGAGGGUAUUUUGGUCUUUUGCUUAUCCCUUCUCUCUCUCAUAUCUUUAUAUGAUCUGCAAAAGAUUUCCCUUCCCUAUAAAAAUUAAACCCCCAUCACUUCCUUCAUUAUUUUUCGUCUCCUCUAUUCUCUCUUCUCUCUUCUCUCUGCUGUGUCUUUCUAAGAAACUUUGCUUAAGAAUGGUAAAUUGUUUUUGUGGAACGCAAGCGGUGAUAGUGACAUCAUGGAUGGAUCUCAACCCAGGUUGUAUGUUUUGGAAAUGUCCUAGCAGUUGCGGUUUCAUUGCCUGGUUUGAUGAGCCGAUGUGUCGAAGGGUUGUGGCUGUCAUUCCAGGUUUGCUAAGAUCCAUGAACAAGCUUCAAGAAUCUCUGCUGCAAGCAAGUUUUGAAGCAAAAAAAGUGAAGAUGAUGCUAGUUUUUAGUUGGGUUUUCUUUUUCAUGUAUGUGUAUAAAAGAUGCUAAUAGUAUUAGUCUGGAGAUGAUGGUUCUUUUGCUUGUGGGUAGAUGAUGGUUCUUUUGCUUGUGGUUAGAAUCAGAUAAUAGUAUUAAUUUGAAGAUGAUUUCGUUUUGUUUGUUUGUGAUGCAAGAAAUGUUCGUAUGUAUGAAUGGAAUGCUUUUUAUUUGGGAAACUUUUAGUCUGCUACCAUUGUAAAAUAUUGGUCAGGAACUUAAUGAGUGUAAAAUAUUGGUCUGCAACUUAAUGAACCGUGCAGAUCCAUUAAAGUAUAAAAUAUGAAAGUGAAAGGUUUUUGUAGGCUUUAGACCAUUGUAGAGCCAUAACAACAUUAGAAAUGUUCAAAAAUAAAAUGCAAACUUUUGCAUAGUCAUAAAGUUCAUUACAUAACCUUAAAGUGCAAAGUCAUAAUACCAAAAAAAUAUCAAAAGAGCUUGCAGACUAAUGUAUCAUAACCAAAAGAACCAUCUUAGUCUAGCACCCUGUGUGAACCAUAAUACCAACAAAAGAUAAAGACACACAAUAACCAACUUAGUCUGACCUUUCUAAGGUACCAAAACAAACAACACAAAAGACCUUUCUAAGGUUCCAUAACAAACAACACAAAAGACAACAAAUCAAACUUUUUCCUUCAUUUUGGAUUUAUCCUUAAGUUUGGUUUUCUCCUUCAUUUUGGGUUUCUCCUUUUUUCCAUCUCCCUGCUUCUUUGCCUUGCUAAGCUUCUUGCCCCCUGCCACCACAUUUCUAACUUCAGUUUGUCCCCCUUGUCCCUUGCAACUCCUAGAGUUGUGACCCUUGUUAUUGCAUUUGCUACAAGUAACUGUAAGGAACUUCUUGGUCAAACUUUUACCUUGAUUAUUUGGUUCUUCAGUUUGAGCUCUCUUUCUCUUCUUUUUUGGUCUCCCCACCUGCAUAAUUAAUAAAUUAUAAAACAGUAUAAACGUAUACUAACUUGUAAAUUGAAAAUUAUUUACCUGUUUAGUAUGCUUAGGAGGUGUUAGUGUUAUGGGGAAAUCUGACUUUGGCCACAUACUUCUUCCAUUGAUAGGUUGAACUUUGUACUUGUACAUUUCAUUCCAUGUGCUUAACCUAUAACAUGGAUGUACCCACUCCUCAAGAGGUGGGACAUUUUUUCCCAGUGCCUGCAACUACAAUUCCUGUCCCUCCAAUUAACCACAAAUUGUUCCCCCAUUGUCCCAGUAACUUGAGUCUUAUCAGCACCAUUAAAUAUGCAAGUGUAUUGAGAAGCAUCUUUCUUAACUCCAUCUAAAAGUUUUGUGGCUGGGGGGGGGAGAGGGGCNUUAUCUAUCACAUUUUGCACAAUACAAAUUCGUUUCAUUAAGUAUUCCCUAAUAUAUUCUAAACAUGUAAUUAUAGGUUUGUCUCGAGCAUCUAACAACUUUGAGAUGAAAACUUCACAUAAAUUAUUCAACAAAAUAUCUGUAUGUGCUCUUCCUGUACAAUGCAACAAAAUAUCUUAUAAGAAUCUGUCAAAGUGUAAAUCUUCCUUGAAUCUGUCAAAGUGUCUAACUGUUGUUGCUGUUGCACAUUCCCAUAAAUGAUCUCUGUGCUCCUUCCCCCUCCAUUGUAGCUUCAUGUUUUCGUGAAUAUGUCUUAAACAGAACCUGUGUUCAGCGCUAGGUAAUAGGUUGGCAAUGGCAGAUAAAAUCCCCUAAUUAACAAGUAACAAAAAUGUUAUUUUCUAAAUGUAGUAGACAAAAUUACAAAGAUGUCAUGAACAAGUAUCAUAAGAAGAUUAACCUUUUGCCUGUCAGAAAUAAAUGUGAAGUUUGAAUUUGUAGAGAGCUCCAAAUCUUCACCUAGACACUCUAGAAACCAACUCCAUGAGCUUUUGUUCUCGGCUUCAACUAUGGCAUAUGCUAGUGGGUAGAUCCGAUUAUUGGAAUCAAGACCCACAACAGUGAGAACCUAUCCAGUGUAAGGUCCCUUCAUGAAAGCCCCAUCGAAACCUAAAAAAUCUCUUAAACCUGCCUUAAAACCCAGUUUUAAUGCACCUAAACAGACAUAAAUUCUCUUAAACAUCCUAGUUUCCAAGUCUGCAUUUGGUUCACUGUAUACAUCAAUCUUCACAAUUGUUCCUGGGUUGCACUGUUGUAAUUCUAAUACGUAAUCCCUGAGAAGGCUGUAUUGCUUUUGAUAAUCUCCAUAAACAUGUUUCUGUGCAAGUUGUUUAGCCCUAAAGACCUUCAUUCUUGACAUCCCCACCUCGUAUAUCUUUUGUAACUCUACACACAAAGCUUUGACUGGGAUAGUUGGGUUUCCUUCCACUUCUUGAAGAAUGAUGGUUGUAAGAAACUUAGGCCUCAUUUGAUAGUUGCCGAUUGAGAAAGUGCUGACUGAGAAAGGUCUGUCUGGGUAAGAAAUCCUGAUUGGGUAAGAAAUCCUGUUGUUUGAUUGUACAUCUGACUGAAUGUGCUGAGUGAUGAAAAAUGACCAUUUUACCCUGCUGUUAUAUAUAUAUAUUGAUGGAUUAAAUUGCUGAAUAAUUAUAAAAACAUACAUAUUGUCAUACAAAAUGUAAAUUACACACAAAUAAAAAAUGUCAUACAAAAUGUAAAUUAAACAUAAAUCAUUUAAUAUCCAAAUAAAAACAUAAUGAAAUUUAAAAUAACAUAAUAAUUUAAUGUAAAGUAGGUGAAAGUAGUCGAUUUGCAAUCUGAUCACGCAAAACACGCAUAUAUUCAACGGCUUCUGGACCCCAUUCUAUGCCUUGUAUGUUUUCUCUAUCAAUUCCCCCACCUUGGACGUCAGGAGUAACCAUAGUGUCCUCCUCAAAAUUUCUAAACAAGUCAUCUUCUAUAUUGUAUUUCCUUAUAAAAUUAUGGACCGCGACACAAGCAAUGACUAUGUCUCUUUGCACUGUAAAAGGAUAAGGAGCCAUUUGUUUUAAGAUUGGGAAUCUCGCCUUCAAUACACCAUAAGCACGCUCAAUAACAUUUCUAAGUUGUGCAUGAGCAUGAUUGAACCUUUCUUCUCUAGUUAAAGGUCUGCCUCUUCGAAAAUCGGCUAACCAAUACCUAGUAUUGCGGUAUGGAGCCAUAAACCCACGAGUGUUUGUAUAUGCGGCAUCACAAAGGUAAUAUUUAUCUGCAAACGAAUGUGACAUAUUAUAUAAUGACACAUAUUAUAUAAAGAAGAUAGAUAAUAAAAAUUAUAUAAAGAUUACAAACCUGGUGGAGGAAAUGGAAAUCCAGAAGUCGAAUUGAAUGCAACUUCUUUCAAAACUCUUGAAUCAUGUGCUAUACCCUCCCAUCCAGCCCAAACAAAGGUGAAUAUCAUAUCAAAAUCACAAAUUCCUAUUACAUUUUGAAAACAUUCUCCUUUUCCUCUUCCUCAAUAACGAGUUUGUUGAUCAACAGGUACAACCGCACGUACAAGAGUUCCAUCUAAUGCACCAAUUGCUCCGGAAAAAAUAUUUUUUAACCGUCUAUGUCGUUCUGAGUUAUGUCUUGUUGGGUUAGGAGUUGUUGGUACUAUAAUUUCUUUUGCAAAACACAUCAUUGCUGUUAGGACCUCGUGAAAACAUUGAUGAAUCGUUUGUGUGGAGUGAUGAAAUCUUCCCUUAACCGCGCGAAAACGUUCAUUAUGUCCUAUAACAUGUAAGAAGAUAGCCAUCUUCUCUUCAAUGCUUAUUGUCCUACUAGCUUGCAACCAAUUUUUUUGGGUAAAAUGGUUGCAUAGUAAUGCAAAUGCCUCUUGUGUAAGACGCAUCAUAUCGAAACAUUGUGUAGGGUCUCCGUAUAUCAAAUCUUAUGUAUACGCAUACCCGCUUGAAUCGUUAUCUCUAAUUCUAAGAAUUCUGAUUAGUCUGCGCCGGUUUGACCUCAACCAAUAAAACACAAGUAAAAGAAAAGCUACAACUUCACCAUCAGAAACCAUACUUGAUCUAUUACAAACAAUUAGGUAAUAUGUUAAAGUAAAAAAAAAAUCAUGCACCAAAAAAAUUAGUAAACAUCAUUAAAAGUAACAAAAGUCGUAUAACAAACGUUGUAUAACAAAAUACUAGUAAACAUCAUCCAAAAAAGUCAUCAAACUAUAUAACAGUAAACCAAAAAGUCAUCAAACAUAGGAUCCAAAAAACUAGUAAACAUCAUCCAAAAAAAGUCAUCAAACAUAGGAUCCAAAAAACUAGUAAACAUCAUAAAAAAAACUAGUAUCCAAACUUUUCUACCCGCACCUAUCAAAGGUAACUAUACUUCCUACCCGCACCCAUCACCCACGACUCACAACUACUAUGCGAAAGUCGUAACCAAACUUUUCGAACAUCAGCACUUUCACCAAAUAGCAAAAGAGCGGUCUUGUGUCUUUCAUCUUCUUCUCCCCAUUCCAUUUUGUUCAAUUUCUCCAUACACGCAUCAACAUCCUUAUCCAUUUCACUUUUUUCAAUUCUUUCAUUUUUUUUCCACUAAUAACCUUACAAUCUUGACAAUCUCCUCUUCAACUUCUAAUGCCCUUGCAUCUCUUUUUUUUCCACCAACUCUUUUGUUUCCACCAACUUCCUUAUUUUUGAACGCCCCGAAGAUUCUUCACUUGCACCUACGUGUUGUGUUGAGGUUUCCAUUAGAACAUCAUCAUCAAAAUCAUGGGGACUAAACUCUUCUACAGGACAAGGGAGUGUAGAAGAUGGCCCCCAACUUUGAGAUCCGGUUGAUGUCAACCCUUCAAAUAGUUGGGUGCAAAGAUCAGGGAACAAUAGGGGUUUAGUUUUCAAUGACAACACGAACUUGUUCAACUGUUUACAAUUUUUAUAAAUAUUAGUAUAUGUUAUAAAAAUAAUCAUAAUAGUAUUGAUUAAAAAAAUAAAUUUAAUCAAAUAGUAUAUGUUAUAAAAAUAAUCAUAAUAGUAUUGAUUAAAAAAAUAUUACCUUCCCCUCUUCUUUCCAUUGUUCAUCGGUCAAAUUAAAUUUAUUUUUUAUAGGAUCAUAUAUAUUGCCGGUUUUGUUUUUGAGUUUCACCCAAGCAACAUACUUUGAUUUGUAGUAGUCAAAGUGGUUUCUCAUUUGCUUCUGAUCAACCUCUUUACCGUGUUCGUUUAUCAAUUUUUCGCGUAUUGUCUUCCAUGAACUUGCCUUAAGCCCAGAACCCUCACGACCAUUAGUGGUUAGUUCAUGGAUACAUGCAUCAAGAAAAGUUUUGUCCUCACUCUCGUUCCAAACCAACAUCCUAAAACAUUAAUAUUUAAAGUAAUUUAUCAUAGUUUUUAUCAAGUUAAAGAACAAUUUUAAACAUAAAGCAAUUUUCAACCAAGGAAGUUAACAUCAUCCUAAAUUAUGAUUUGAUAACUUAUACACAAACAAUUUCAGAUGUCACAAAACAUCAAUAUUCAAGCUAACAAUUUCACAAAAGAUAACAAGCUAACAAUUAAGGUCAACAAUAUCAAAGCUAUAAAAUUAGAAAGAAAAAAAAAACAGCCCAAUUUUUGAUUUUAUAGCUUAUACUUUUGAUACUAAUACAAGCUCAAUAAUUGGAAGACAUGUGAUGUUGCAUGCAUUCCCCCUCUCGCCCACUCUUCAAGGAACAAUUGGAUUAUUAAAAAAGUUAGGUUACCAUUAAUCUUAUAAUAAUUAUUUAUUAUUAAUUUUACUUUUGUACUUUACACAUAAAAACACAACNAAAACCAAAAAAAUAAAAAAAAAAAAAAAAAAAAAAAAACAGCCCAAUUUUUGAUUUACAAACCUACUUGUAUUUUCCAAUUCACAUUCAAUUUCAAUUCACAAGCUAUAAAAUCAAAAUUCAAAAAAAAAACCUUCCAAUUCACUUUCAAUUUCAAUUCAUAAGCUAUAAAAUAUGAACCGGAGAAAAAAACUUCCAAUGUGAAUUGGAGAAAAAAACUUCAAAUUCAGAAAAAAAAACAAAAAAACAAAAACAAAAAACAACUACCAAUUCACAUUCUAUUUUAGAAUUCAUAACAUUAGAAAAAAAAACCUUCAAUUUUCAGUUCUUAUACACAAAGAACUACAAAACAAAACAUAAACAAACUUCCAAUUCACAUAUAAUUUCGAAAUUCAUAUAUUAGAACAAACAAUUUCAGAUUUCAGUUCUUGUACACAAAGAACUACAAAAAAGAACAAAAAAAGCUUAUCAUAUGAACAUACAGGUUGAGAAUUCAUAAUAUUCUAACAUAUACUAAUUUGAUUUCAUAAAGAACUACAAAUUUCAUACCAUCAAAGCAUAAAUGGUAUCUGAUUUUGAAAAUUAUUAACAGAAAAAUUAUCUAACCUGUGUGAUGGAUCGAGAAGGCGUCACUGAUGGCGGUGGCGGAGGUCCGACGAGAUGGCACAGGUCCGACUGGUCGGACUGUUUGGCGUUCAAUGUUGUGGAGUUCUUCCUAGCGGCUGCUGUGCUUUUAGGUCACUAGAAGGGAAGCGAAUGGGGAAAGAAAUAAUAACGACGCAGGGGCAAGAUAAGGGCAAGAUUGUCUAAUUUCCAGUCAGCAACUGUUUAAAAACUGAUCCAGAAAGCGAUUUGGGUCAGCAGAUCUUACCGAGAAAGCUCAAAUCAAACACCAAAGGUCUGACCGAGUCAGCCCAAUUUGCUGACUCGACCCAGUCAGACAUUUAUCAAACACUCCCUUAGAAGUGCACUCUUUAAUAGACCUUGACUGCACACAUCUAUGCUCAUGAACCAAAGUUUUCACCAUCCAAUCGCUUUCUUCAUCAGAUCUAGAAAUUAAUACCACCCAAGGGCAUGUUGCUUUUUGUGAGCUGACUGUUUUAUCCUUGCAUUUGAUUCUACUUUUUGUCCAUGGCCCACCUGUCAUUUUCGGGACCACACCCCUGCAUUUUGCCCUAAUUCUUUUUUUUUUAUCAUUUUUUGAAAAGUAAAUGUUUCUCCUAGUUCGAAUUGAAUGCAUUUUAAUGUAGUCCUUCACUUCUGAUGAGGACUUAAAUAUUUGACCCAGAUGGAAUGCAGUUUCAUGUACUACUCCUGAUGAACAUGUGGUUGGUUUGUUUAACCUUCUCAUUAAUUUCUUCCUCUCAUCUUCUUCUACACCAGUUGAUUCAAAUAAUUGUGUAUCUAUCACCUCCAAAUCCUCAUCAACUGUGACAUCAGGUGCAUUGAAUGAUUGGUGGUUAUCUAGAUUUGGAAAAGAAUAAACACCACUGUGGAAGUCUUUCAUAUUCACUUCGACAUCCUCCACCAUAUUAAGUUCAUCCACUAAAAAGUCACUAUCGUCGCUUAUACUUCCAUCGGUACUAGUCUCAUCACUAAUAACAUCUCCAAUUUCUUCAUUUUCCCCCAUCUGUUGGUAAUCAUUAUGAUCCAUAUAAAAGAAAGGAUCAAAGUCUUCUGAAGGGACAACAUCUUGGGCUUUGUUAAGCUCCUCACUUGCAGGAUGAACUCGAACAUCUUUCACUACAUCUCUAUCAAAAUGUCCAAAAGGUACAACAGACCUAGAAAAGUCAUAGUUCUCAUUCAAGUCCAUUUUUCUACUACAUGAUCCUACCUUUGUACUUGUAAACUUUUUUCGAUUGAGUUCCGGAGAAAUAGGCUCAUUGAUUUCUUCCGAUACGACCUUAUUUGGAGAUAUAAAGUAUGCAUGGAGUCUAGUAGUUCCAUGUUCAGUAUACACCAUAAUCUCUUUAUGAUUAGCAACAUGCUUACUUAACAAAAGUACGUCUGAGUUGUUACCUAAAGGAAGUAACCCAUAAUCGAUUUCAAUCUCAGGAAUCAAGAAGUGGUAGUAGAUAGGCUCACCGUUGAUAUAACCUAUCUCCUUCAUCAUAUCGUCUAACUCAUGUACGGAAAACACGUCCAUGUCUACGUAGUCAACAUAGUCAAUACUCCCACCAACGUAACGUCUUCCUGGGUAUUUUGUGAACAUACCCCCAUGGUGAAUCUUGAAUGUGCAAAAACUACUUAACUCAACUGAAAAACAAAUAAAUAAUGAUAUGAGGAAAGAAUGAAGUCUCAAAAUUGAAUGUGCAUAAAUUACUUAACAAAAUUGAAAGUUGUUAACUGAUCACUCACCAUAAGCUUUGAUCAGGUCAGGAUUUUCUGAGAAUUUUGAACGGACAUUCCACAAAGUUAGAACGAUCGCAAAAGAUGAAAAUGAAAACCCUAGUUUCCGUUUGAUGUUUUGAAGUGAUGAAGAUGAAAAACCAGAGGAGAAAAGAAAGGGAUGAUUUCUUGGGGUAAUGUAAAUGGCAGCUAGAUGUAAGGAUCAUUUAUGAAUAUGAUCAUUUCGUGUAACAAAGCAAAAGACCAAAAUACCCUCGUGUGAGGGUCACGUGAUUUAGAUAAACGGAAACAAUUAAACGGAGUAUGUCAUAAGGACUAUUCGUGCAACAAUUUGGAACCAUAGGGACCAUACUCGUCCAAAAUUCCUCAUAAGGACUAUCUUUGGUCUCUUGUGCCAACCACAGGGACCAUCUGUGUAAUUUUGUCUUUUUUUAAAGAUAGUUCAUAAUUUUUCUAUUAUAUACAUUGUAAAUGAAAUUGAGAACUUAAGUAGGUCCUAGGACCUACCUAAGCACAUGGUGGAUACGCCCCUGUUACCCACACUAACCUCAUACACUUACAACACAAAUGAACUUGAACGGUCUAAGACCAAACCAAGAUAUAAUAUGAAAUGUGUAAGUAUAGUUUAAUAGAUGAAAGUGAGGUGUUGUUUGGGCUUGAAAAGUAGGGGUGAGCAUGGUGCGAUUUUUUGAGAAAACCGAACCGCAAACCGCAAGAUGCGGUUUCUAUAGGGUAAAACCGAUAGGUGUGGUUUUUGUUUCGGCGUGGUUUUACAUGCAUUUUCGGUGUCAUUCGAUGCGGUUUCGGUUUUUAACUGAAAAUAUGUGUUGGUGUGAUUUUUCAUACAUGUGUUGAUCUACCAAAGAAGUAAUAACCCCUAAAGAAGCUAGAGCAAGGCCUAAUUGAAAAUGAAGCCAAUUAUUAAUUGUGUCAUAAAGACCCUCAUGCCCACGUCUCAAUCGCCCUCUUGGAGGGAUAUGUGCAUCUAAAAGAUCUUUCAUACUGUGCCCAAUCCCAAAAUUAGUUCUAUACAUAUGCCCAACAAUAAGAAAAAGAAAUGCAAUAGCUAAAUAAUGAUGAGUCAUAUCAGCAUGUCCAAACCCGACUUUUCAGUUAACUUUCCUUUAUUUCCGGUACAGAUUCUCAUUUAAAUGUAUUUAACAUGCUUGUGAAAUAGUUAUAUGUUAUUCUUAUCAAAAUAUAGACUUCUUUAUGAUAUUACGAUUUUGAGAUUUGAAUUAUAUGUUUGAUGCAACAAGGGAUUUGGUUUUAUAAUCUCAAAUUCCAUUACUUAAUCAUUAUUGUUUAUACAGAUAGAGGCGGCUUUUGAUUCGAAUUGCAUUUUGCUUGUGAUAAGCAAAAGGAAAAUUGUUAAUGGUACGCACUUUGAUACAAAUGUCAAAUUUUAUAAAAAUAUAGCAAAACAUAAGGCAUGCACAGUGGCAAAAAGAACUGAAGAGGUCGAAGUUGAACAAAAUAUACUUUUAUUAAUAAGUAUUAUAAUAUAUUAAAUAUUGUCAGGUUUUUAUGGUGCUGUUUGGCAUUGUCCAAACCGCACCACACCGAAAAAUUACCAAUUAAGGUUGGAUUGGAAUGCAUAAUUAUCAAUUUAUCCUUAAUAAGUCAUAAAUCAACAAAAAUGGCCCAACAAUUUUCUUAAUCUUAAUUGUUGCCUUUGGAUUAGAAAUCAUCAACGAUCAAGAUUGGUUCUCACAAUUCUCUAAUCUCUACUUUUAUGUUGUUUUCAUUUGAACUCAACCCAAAAAUCUCACCAGUAAUCACCACACGAACAAAUCCCGUUCUUGAAAUGAUGAAACCUAUUUGUAUCCCGAAGAAUAAUUUCCCGCUCAACAAUCUUGGAAAUAAGCUUAGCAGCAAUAUGACAAUCCUCACAAACACGUAGAUUUUUAGUAAUCCGUAUAGGCGUAAAAGCUUUAGUAUUUAUAAUCACAAACACAAUAGCAAGCUUCUCACUAUGAACAGCAAGAUGAUUUCCUUUAUCUUCAUCUUCUAUAUCAUGAAGUGCAGAAUCCACUUCAGGAACAUACCCAAAAUCCCUCAUCUUCCCCACAAGUACUUCCAACUCUUGAUAAAUCUGUUUAGAUUGUGGAUGGGAUUGAUCUCCAGCAAGAAACGAAUGAACUUGAUUAUUAAGCUCAACAUUACUAACACCGGGCUCUUUUUUCACUCCUUUUGAUUUCAUUAUUGAACGAAUAUUUGUCACAUCUUUAAAUCUACCUGCUUUUGCGUAUAUAUUUGAUAAUAAAACAUAAUACCCUGCUUGUUCAGGGACCAAUUCAAAGAGAUGAUCUGCUGCUACAAGACCAAUUUCCAUGUUGGAAUGAACUUUACAAGCACUUAACAAAGCACCCCAGAUUCUAUCGUUUGGUUUUGUUUUCAUUUUCUUUAUAAAAUCAUAAGCUUCAUUGAUUCUUCCUGAUCUUCCUAGCAAAUCAACCAUGCACGCCAAGUGUUCGAGUCUUGGAAUGAUGUUAUACUCUUCGGUCAUCAAUUUGAAGAAAUGUUUUCCUUGGUUUAGUAAUCCGGCAUGGCUGCAGGCUGAUAGAACUGGAACGAAGGAAAUGGAAUCAGGGGCGAUUCCGGAAUUUUGCAUAUUUGAAAAGACUGUGAUAGCAGUUUCACCAUCUCCAGUCAUGCCAUAAGCAGAGACCAUGGAAGUCCAGGAGACGACAUCUCUUGUUGGCAUUUCAUCGAACACCUUGCGUGCUUCGUUUAAAGACCCACAUUUAGCAUACAUGUCAAUCAAGGCGUUCUCUACUGUUAGAUUAGGAAGAAGCCUUUUUGUUUUUACAUAUGAAUGAAUCUUUCUUCCUAGUAAUAAAGCUGAAAGAUCUCCACAAGCGGGUAGGAUGCUAGCAACUGUGAUUGAAUCCGGGUCGAUUCCGUAAUUCUCCAUUUGUUGAUAAAGAUUAACUGCAUCUUUAGGCAUCGAGUUGUUGACGUACACAGCUAUCAUGACAUUCCAAGAAAUUAAACUCUCUCGAGCGUGAUUCAUGAACAUUUCUUUCAUAAACAUCACGUUGGUAGAUGAAGUAGAAGUUGUUAAAGCAGGGGAAAGGCUGGCCAUGGUGCCUGCGUUGGGUUUUGAGGUAGAACAUUGCAUCAUUGUCUUACAAAUCUCCAAUGCAUCUUCAAACAUCCGGUUUUGGGCGUAGGCAGCAACCAUAGCAUUCCAGGAGACGAUAUCUCUACUAGGCAUUUCAUCAAACACCUGGCGUCCUUCCAGUAACCGGUUACAUUUUCCAUACAUUGUAAUCAAUCCAUUCCCUACAUAAAGAUUUGAAUGCAGACCCUUCUUGAGAACAGCAACAUGGGUUUGUAAUCCGACCCACAAAUUCUCAGACACGGAACAUGCUUUUAGAACUUGAGGAACUGUAAAAUGAUCAGGGUUAAUGUUGAACUUGAACAUGUUUCUGUACAUACGAAGUGCUUUUUCGUAGAAUUCAUUGUUUACGUAGCUUCUAAUCAUCACAUUGAAGAAGACUACAUCUUUUUGAGGAAAUUCAUCAAACAGUUGGCGGGUAACUGCGAUUUGGCGACAUUCAGAAUAAGCUUUCAUUAAUUUCAGAGCAAUAUGCGAUGCUGAGACGAGGUUUCCAUCAAUAAUUAACCUACAAUGUAUCUUUUUCAAUUGUUUGAUAUCUGGGCACUUGUCCAAGAUUUUGAUACACAAGUCUUCUGUGAUUAACAUGAUUGUUAAGGCGAGAUUUGAAUGAAUUUGAACUUAUAUUCCUUUCGCCAUGUUGUACCUGAGGGGCAAUCAAAUAGAAUGGACGAAGAUAACGAAGGUUUACUUGGUGGUGUUCACUUAAAAACAAGAAAUAUGAAGUUCUAAACGCUAUUUCUUGUUAAACAGAAAAUAUUUUGUCCAAUCUAAAAAUCCAAUUUUUGAGUAAGUUCAAGCUUAAGCUCAAAAAUAGUAAGCAAAACAUGUUUAAAAAAUAAAAGUUCGUUUGAAACUCUUUGGAUAGCUCGAGUAUAACAAUCAUCAUAAUUAUAGUCAAUAAAUCAGGCUCAAACAACCAAACUUGAUGUCCAGCCCUUGAUCAUCCAAUUGCCAACUGAAAUCAACUUAGUUUCCGGUUUUAGAAUCGCCCUAACAUUACAUAAGCACCAACUAGUUCCAAAAGUAGUUUUUAAUUCAAUGUCUCCCAUACCCGUGACUUCAAGGGUUUCCAUGUUACCCAACCUUACCAACUUAAGAUAAGUUCUUUACUUCAAUUACUAUAACAGAUCGAUGAGUCAUGUUCUAAUGACCUCUCGUCAUAUGAUGCAAUGCUUAGACUCGAGUCUUUUAAAGUCAAAUUCUAUAAUGAAAUAUACAUUCCUUCAAGUUUCUAAUGUGAUAUAAUCACAUUCUAGCAUGUAUCACUUCUAGCUACAAGCUUCUUACUUUAACAACAAUCACAAUACUUCUAUUGAUCGCUUUGAUUAUCUUUCAGUUCAAUCUUCUGGCUUAAGUCAGAUGCUACAUCGAUCUUGGUUCUCUGAACCACGUACAAUACUUAUCCUAGCUGUAAUCGAUUUGAUAUGACCACUAGGGUCGGAAUAACAAUCAUCUUCUUAGUCAUUACCGAAAUUAUGGUAAUGACACAUGAACAAAACAGAAUCAAUUACUAGCGUCUUGGUAACUCGUGACUUUCCCUGAUCCAAGUGCGAGUCGUGUGCUUCCAGUAGUAUAUGCCUCUACUACCUUUCACACCUACUCAUACUUGUCCCAAGUAUUGUCUUUCAGUUCUCCAAGUCACCAUAAAAGAAUUUCACAUAGUCAUUUAACACAUCGAAUAACAAAACUAAGGUUUAUAUUAUUUCUUGAAACGAUUACAUAGAUAUUCAAGUUCACCUUAUACCAUGCCUUUUAUAUUAGGCUACACCACAUGAUACUAUCUAUAUGGCUACUUUAUAUCUCGAUCUUCAGAUAUAUAUAGAUCCCUACUCCUAAUCCCUUGUAUCGUCACCUGCUUCAUCCAGGUUAGACUUCGAGAAUCUUCCUUUCUUAUCGAAUCUUGAGGAUCCCUCAAGCUUCUUCUUUUCUCAUGCCUUGUCUUAUUCCAGACCCUUUUUCCUAAAUUAGGUUUCCAUAUUCUUGGUUGCUCUAACGGUUGUCUUCAAAGUAGUUGCCAUUUUUACCAUUGCGCCAAAUUAUGCUGGCAAUCCGUUAGCAAAACUAUCUAUCUUGGAGAGUUCAGUAGCACCAAGUAGGGGAAUAACUUCAUCUGCUCGGUGAAUACGGUGACAUACUCAUCAACACUCAUCUUCCUUUUCUUCAAGUUCGAAACUCGUUGUUUAGGUCUAUCAGAUCUAUCUCUGAGCAGUAUUGCAUUUUCAACUGCUCCAUGAAUGCUUCCCACCUCAGGGCUUCUCCCCCAUGGCUUUGUAUCUGCCAAUAACUUCCACCAACUUAAAACUCUGGUCUUUAGUUGUCUGACUGUAAAGACGGUUUUCUGCUUGUUGCUGCAAUUGCAACUUUCAAAUGUCAUCUCUAUCUCGGAGAUCCAAUCCAUGAUCUCUACUGGCUUCGGGCUUCCAGAAAGACUUGGUGGUUUGGCACCUAAGAAGUUCUUAUACAUACGUUCAUCCUUAUCAAUCGCUUUUUUCGGGUCGUUCCUCCUUGCCACUCGGGGUUCAGCUUGACUCACUGUACGACUGUAAUUUCCCUCCUCCGACAAUUCUUCAUUCAGUUCGGGUUGCACGAUAGGCACAAUAGGUUCAUCCCUAUUAUCAAGAAACAUUUUUCUCAUCUCCUCCCUUUGUUCGGCCAUCAUAGCCCAAAUCAUUGCUUAGACUCUUGCCAUCGUGAUUGGCUCGGGUGCAGCUACUACCUCUGGUGCACAUUUAAUCACUCGUGGUUCAGGCUGUUAGUUUUCAUUAGCAUUUUCUAAUAUGUUGCGAGUUCUCACCAUUUCGAUCUAUACACUCUAGAGAUGUUCAGUGUACAGUGACGAGAAUUAAGAUAUGGAAAGCUUUAUUUACGACAGCCAUAUAAAUCUUCUUAUCACUCGUAAAAGUUAUAUACUAGUUCUAAUACCGUAAUUAAAUGUUUGGAAAUUUUGAGCAAAUGACGGUUCAUCAACAAUAGAGCGAAUCUCAUUUAGGAAUUCGUUGAUAGGUCGAUUUCCUUUAGGAUUUUUAGCAAGUUUGGAUUUUAAAGAGAUGAUUCUUGAGCAGGAGGUGCUGGCAUAGCUUGUGUUGAGAUGCUUUCAUGCUUCUUUUGUGGUAAAUACAGAGGUAAUGAUAGGUUGAAUGAAUUGCAUCUGAGCAUGAACCAAGAAUUGCAUCGAAUACUACAUGAUCUUGGCGAUAGCAAGUCGUGUAUUCAUGAUUAGGUUUGGAUUUGUCUUUGUCGAUAAUGAAUUUUGUGGUAGGAUCAGUCACCCAUGUGAUGUAAUCUUCCAGACCUAGUCCAAUAAAUGUGGACUGCACUUGUCGCCUCCAUACAUGGAAGUUGUUGGUGAGUAAUUUGGUAGGAAAGUGACUUGAGGCGGUGAUUUGUAUUUGGGAUGAUUGUGUCAUGGUGAUGUUGAUGAAAAGGAUUAGAGGAGAAAGGCAAGAUGAUCGAUUGACUCUUUAGAGUGUGUGUGCUCUGAUACGAUAUGAGAUUUGAGAAUCAAUGGGCUCGAAUGAAUAAUUUCAUUUACAAAGAUCGAUACAUAUAUAGAUGGUAACGAGAGUUAAAGAGCUAUACAUGGAAUUUACUAAGAAUAGAUUGCAAUUACAUACAAAUAGAAGAGAUUAUUGUAGAUUAGUCAUGAAGAUGUGUACGAUGUUAUAGUUAGAUUGCUUAUUUGCAAUCCAUGUUAGCUAAGUAUGUCAUGUUGAAUACAAAUUGUAUUAAAACAUUAAAGUUCCAACCAUUAUAUGUUGAAGAAGAAGCAAAUACGCCUUAGUCACACCCAUUCUAAAUGAUAUGGAUGUUAUGGUUGUCGUUUCUAUGCAACCAAAUCGUGAUUCCAAGUUGCAGUUGUCUUACCAAUAUAUCAUGUUAGGAAAAGAUGACAUAGCAUGAAAUAUUGUAUGUUACAACAAAAAGAUAUAUCUUAUAGAUGUCUUGCACAUGGGUUAUUCCUUUUUAAGCACUUAUAUAAAAAUAAUAUCACGUAUGUAUGAUAUCUAUUUUGAGAGAUUUUUAGCAAGCAACUCUUUGUCUAUUAUUGUUAUUGGAUAGAAAAAGUAUCAUCUUCGUUGGGAAGAUUUUACUAGGAUUAGAUUCAUAAUAGUUUGUCAAAGAUUUUACUAUUAUGUAUUUAUAAACCCAUGAAGUUUUCUAUUAAAUAAAUAAAUAAAUAACCAUUCACCAUUUAUAUCUUUUUGGAAUAGAGUUUGUUAAAUUCUAAUAUAAAUAAAAAGAGUAUUUAUUUAGAUUCACACAUUACAAAAUUACAAACUCCAAGCAUAAAUCCGAAACUUAUUUUUAAACUUCUUCAUUUAUAUUACAAGUUUUAUUCUUUUUUCCCAACCCACUUGGGGUUUCGAAACCCUAAAAAAGUUCUAUCCAUGGAAGUUCAUAUUUAUUUCUUAUCUUAAUGAAUUUAAGGUCUAAAUCAAUAAAUGGCAAUGUAGAAUUAACCGCAUAUAUUAAGUUAUUUUUGGAAGCUUUCCAACACAACACAGAAAGGAAAUGAUGAGAAUUUAUGGUACCAAAUAACAAAAUAAUCCCGGUUCCUAUAAAAAUUUAUUAAAGCUCUACUCAUGAUUUCAUAAUCUCCUCUAAUAUGAGGGUUACGUUAUUGUAAUAAUAACUAUGAUAAUGUAAAAGCCAUAACAUAAAUCGUCUUAAUUUAAGAAAUAAUAUAAAUCCCAAGAUAUUGUUUUUAAAAUAAAAAGGAAAAAAGUGGGAGUCCAUUAGAAGGAGCCAAGCUGAUUAUUUGAGCCAAGAGAGCACCGAUUUGUUAUCCUUCCACUGUUCGAAGCGAGAGGUUAUCGCAGCUCUGUGAAGCCAGCCUAACGCAUUGCCCUCUGCUCUAGGAACCAAGAAGCCCAAGCCUUCGCUCAAGCCACUUGAUCCAACUCCGAACUUGGAACGGGCAAACCAGAUUUUGCAACAGCUUUGACCCAACCAAACAAGGCUCGAUCUCAGUCCAUCCCACUUUAGAGCCCUCACUUGAGUCACAAGCUCGC
rnacentral:lncRNA from 1 species